CAGUUUAUUUUUAUUACUGUACUUGCUUGUUUAUAAUAUUAGGCAUAUUAAUUAACACCUAUGAAGCCCAUUUGGUAUGCUAAGCACUGUUCUAAUGUUUUACAUGAAUUGUCUCGUUUAAUCUUCAUGUCAACACUUAUGUAGGCAUCAUUGUUAUGUGUUUUAUAGGUGUAGAAAACUGAGGUACAACGAAGUUAGGUAAUUUCAAAAAGUUAACAUAACUGGAAAGUGGUAGUGUUAAAAAUAAUUUGAGGGUUUUGAUUCCAGUUUUCAUGCUAACUUUAGUUGACUAAAGGAAGGAUACAUUGUCUAAUUUAAUCACAAACGCAGCUAUGUGAGGAAGGAUUUUUAGAGUUCUCAGAGCCUAAGUUUUCUUAAGUGCCUAAAAAAAUGCCUUGGUUAAGGAAGAUAUUUAUGGUAGAAAUGCUUUGUUAUUGCCAAUUGCUUUUAUCAGGAUUUUGGACCUAAGUUACCUGUUAGGUGCUAAAAUAUUUUUAAAGAUGAUGAAGCAUCCAAGUGCUGCUUGUUCAUUUACACUUUUAUUAAGUAAUUGUGAACAUUAAUUAUGGUUUAACUAAGAAGCACCAAUAUUAAUACUUUUGGUUUUCAGAGUUUCAAAGCCGCAAUUUUGAGUUGUUCGGCCUGUUUAGUGACAGUCAAAAAAUAAAUGCCAUGCACGAGAAUUUCAGCACUAUGAGCAGUGAUAGAAGAGAACCAAGAAGAAGUGUAUACCUUUGGAAAAUGUGUUUCCUGUUAUAGACACAUAGAAGGACCUGUUGCCCUUGAUGAUUCUGCAAAGCUAUAAAAGCUGGUACUUGAAAAACAUGGUGUAAGAAACCCAAAUCACAGAAAGACUCUAAGACCAGCUUUCUUACCAUGGUGACGCAUUGAAGCACUAAGUGUUUGAGCACAUCUCACAGGAUGAUCUAGCUAUAGAAUUGACAAGAUUUUGCCCUAAGAUAGUUGAGAGAAGCAAAUGUAUGCUUUCUUCCAUGGCAUAAUUUUACCUAUUUACCUUUUAUGUGAAAUUAGCCCGAAUCAGGAGUCACAGCUUAACCUGUUUAUAUGGGUGAAACUUUCCAUAUUGUGAGAUGUUGUUUUUACUAGCAAAGUAACAAGAAAUGAAGAACCUUCCAGAGUUUGUAACUUACUGCCUUGCUAUGAAAAUGAUACUUCAGAUACAGUGAUGUGUUUAUAAUGUCUCCUUUUGCGUAGGAUAAAUGCUGUAUCUGUAUAUGUAUGGGCAAAAUUCAGAAAACUAUUAAUCAUACACAAUGUAUACAGACAUACGUAUAUUCUCAUUCUCCCUCUCUCCCUCCCCCUCCUUCCACCUGCCUCUCUCCCCCGCUUUCUUUCUUAUUUCCUUUGUUUCCCAAAAUGAAUUCUACCUUUAUUAACUCAGUUGAAUUUUCAGCAAGUGUCUACUAAUUGAGACAGAAUCUACUGUUCUUCAGUGCCGCUACUUAACUAUAUGCUCAUCUCUUUCUACUCAUAUCUCUGUUUUAUAUUUUUACUUGGGACGUUAUUGCAUGGUAAUUAAGAAUACUGGCCUAGGAAUCUGACCGGUUAAUGUUUCAAUAACUGACCAGUAGCUUGAUUCCUUCAACAAAUAUUUCAGUGCUUAUUGUAUUAGGCAUUGUUUUAGGCACUUAAGAAAAUCUAGGCUCUGAGAAGUUAACUGUAAAAGCCCUUCCUCAUGUAGCUGUGUUUAGGAUUAAGUGAGAUAAUGUAUAUAAUUGCUGAGCACGUUGGAAUCUGUCGAUUUAUGUAAACUAUUUCUUAUUAUCUUCAAACCUUUUAAUGACUUGGAACUCUCAAAGUGAAAAAGUAAGUAUGAACAGGUAUAAAUUUAUUUUUUUAAUUUUUAUUUUUUUUUGAGACGGAGUCUCGCUCUUGUCGCCCAGUCUGGAGUGCAGUGGCGUGAUCUUGGCUCACUGCAACCUCUGCCUCCCAGGUUCAAGAGAUUCUUCUGCCUCAGCCUCCCGAGUAGCUGGGAUUACAGGCUUGCGCCACCAUGCCUGGCUAAUUUUUGUAUUUUUAUUAGAGAUGGGGUUUUGCCAUGUUGGCUAGGCUGGUCUCGAACUCCCAACCCCAGAUGAUCCACCCGCCUCGGCCUCCCAAAGUGCUGGGAUUACAGGCUUGAGCCAUCACACCCGGCCUAAACUCUUUUCUUGAAUUAAGUUUCAGGAUUGACAGCCUUCAUUAUAACAUGUCCCAUGUAAUUAGCAUCAUGACCACUAUCACAAACAUACUGAUAAAUAUAGUACAGGACCCAGAUUUCAGCACCUGUUACAUAGAGCCAUUUGUUUUUUUCCCCUCUUAUCCGUAGCUGCCCUCCACAAAUAUGGAUAAUGGACCGAGAGUAGACUGUGCUGUGUCUGCCCAUACUCUGAAUCAUAUUGCCAAUCUCCUACUCAUCCUGCCUCUUGAGAAUCCUGAGCACAGGACACCUGAGAUAGCAAAAGGUCCUUCCUGUAGUAAAAGGCUUACAGAGUCAAAUGGCUGGAGCGGUGUGAGAAUAUGGACUCAGGAACUUUGGAAUUGGGAGUACAUUUUAGAUUAGAAGAUAGCAUGUAAAGGAAGAAGGAGAGAAUUUUUGUGGGUCAGGCAUCUGGGCAUGGCUCAGGUGGGUCCUCACAAGGUUGCAAUUAAGAUAUUGGUCAGAGCUACAGCCUCAUCUGAAGGUUCAACUGGGGAAGCAUAUGCUGCCAAGCUCACUCACACAGUUGUUGACUGGACUCAGUUCCUUACUGGUGGUCGAACCGAGGACCCUGGUUUCUUCCUGGCAGUUGGCCAGAGGCUGUUCUCCAUUCCUUGCCAUGUGGACUUCUCUGGCUUGCUUCAGAGCAAGCACAUGAGAAGAGCCAGAUAGUGUUCCAGCUGGAAAGGAGUAUUAGCAAGACAGAGUCACAGCUUUUGUAACCUAAUUGCAGAAGUGACAUCUCAUCCCUUUUUCAGUAUUCUGUUUAUUAGAAGCAAGUCACUUGGUCCACCCCACACUCAAGGGGAAGGGGCUACACAAGGGUACAAAUAGCAGGAGUUCAUGAAUCAUUGGAUGGCCAUCUUACAAAUCCACCUAUCACCUACCUACUGAAAGCCUUCAGUAAGCUUUAAGAGCAUACAGGAGCCCUGACACCCAAAAAUUAGAGAACUGCUGAUCUAAAUGUAUGUUACAUUGGUGGAACAUGUAUGGGAGAUAUAAUACCUUCCUUAAAAAGUUCUUCUCUAGGAUAAGAUCUUGGGCCUUGGAAGCCUGUAUAUGGGGAGUGCAGGUAAAAUCAGGAAAGCCUCCCCUUUUUGUCAACUUCAGUUUCUGGAGAGAGGGAUCUUAAUACUACAUAGCUGUCUUCUAACAUCUUUUAGGAAGUAACACAACUAUGACAGGAACAGUAGUGAAUGUUAGAAAAAAUAAAAGGUCUGAGAGAGGAGAAUAGGAGCAUAUUCUUGCAAAGCAGAAAUAAAACUUUUUAAAAAAAUCCGUGCCCUUCAGUGAAACUUUUUUUUAAAGGAUCUUUGUAUGUUACCUUAUGGGAAACUCUAGAAAUCAACUCUAAAAAUGAAAUUUUGAGUAACAAUUUUUAGAAUGGUUGUUAAAAUGGCUAAAAGCUAUUAUGUGACUCAAAUUUCUUUUUUUUUUUUUGUUUGAGACAGGGUCUCAUUCUGUCACCCAGCUGGAAUGCAAGUGGCAUGAUCGUGGCUCAGUGCAGCCUUUACCUCCUUGGGCUCAAGUGAUCCUCCCAACUCAACCUCCCGAGUAGCUGGGACCACAGGUGCACCACCACCAUGCCUGGCUAAUUUUUUUUUUUUUUUUUUUGAGAUGGAGUUUUGCUCUUGUUCCCCAGGCUGGAGUGCAAUGGUGUGAUCUCAGCUCACUGCAACCUCCACCUACCCGGUUCAAGUGAUUCUCCUGCCUCAGGCUCCCGAGUAGCUGGGAUUAUAGGCAUGCGCCACCACACCCAGCUAGUUUUGUGUUUUUAGUAGAGACGGGGUUUCUCCACAUUGGUCAGGCUGGUCUCGAACUCCUGACCUCAGGUGAUCCGCCCACCUCAGCCUCCCAAAGUGCUGGAAUUACAGGCAUGAGCCACCACACCUGGCCCAGCUAAUUAAAAAAAAAACUUUUUUUGUAGAGAUGGUUUCACUGUAUUGCCCAGGCUAGUCUCAAACUCCUGGGCUUAAGCAGUCCUCUUGCUUUGGCCUCCCAAAGUGUUGGAAUUACAGGCGUGAGCCACUGUCCGUGGCUCAACUCAAAUAAUUUCUGAAAAUUGUGAUAGGAUUUUAUUGUUUAUGGUAGUCAUUCAGUCUGAACAAGAAGCUAUGUUUUUCAUACUCAGUCCUUACUAAAUGGACAGACAAAAAAAUACUUUCUGAAAAUCUAAGUUUAUUUCUGCUUACAAAUCUAAAAAUAAGCAAGGUUAUUGAGAAGAAUUUGAUGUCAGUUAAACUGUAUUGUAAUAUCUAAGAUUCAUGUACAAAAAUAGAAGUAAUGAUAAUAAUGAUAGAACAUUAAACAACAAAUGAGCCCUUCUAUCAGAUUUAUUGUUGUUGAGAAGGUUGUCCUUAAGUCACUUUGAAUUUUUUUUUCAUGAAGACCCACCUAGGAGAUUUCUUUCAAAUCCUAAAUACCUGAAAAAAGUUUUGCUUUUCUUGAGAAAUCAAAUGCUGCUGUUCCCCCUUUCCUCCUAAAGCAAAGUUUAGAACAUUUUCUUCUUUGCUUUAGCCACCAGGAGUCUUAGUGCCAAGUUUAUGCCUCAGUUGAAUAACUUUACAUAUUUACAUUCGAAAUAUAUGCUCAUUUAAUCUUCUAUAUUGUUCCUUGUUUCUGAUUUCUGUGUGUUUUACUUUUCUCUUUAGGUCUUUGCUUAAAAAAUAUUGAAUGAAAUUAUUAUUAUAAAAUUUUUUAGUGAACUUAGAAAAUUGUUAGCUUCACAAAUAAUCUAAGAAGUAUAAAUUAACACUGAGAAACAUUUAAAAUCAGAUUGUAAGAAAUGAAAAUAAUGAUGAUUUUCAGUGCUGACUGACAAAUGCAGUAAAUUGGACACUCAUAUCUGUUAAUGGAAGUGUAAACCUGUGCAGUCUUUUUGUAGUGACUUAAAACAUAUACCUUAAGGAAAUUCCUUAAGUUUGGAAAAAGCUAUGAACAAAGGUGCUUAUCUGUCCUUCAUUUUAAAAAGGUGAAAUUUGGAAAUAACCUAAAUGGAACUGUUAAAUGAGCUAUUAUAUACCUAUGUACUUUAUGGAAGGAGUAAUACUGUAUUUUUAAAAAUCAUCAAAAUGAAACUGACCCAGUAAUCCCAUAGACAGUAAAUCGAUUAGUUUAUACUUUUAGAUGCUUUAGGAUAUAAAUAAAUUGGUAACUAUGAACCACGUGCUAUAGAGUUUAAUGCUAAAUGUAAUUUUACAAGUAAAUCAGGUUAUAUAUAUAUGUGUGUGUGUGUGUGUGUGUGUGUGUGUGAUUGAAUUUUUUUUUUUUCCUUAAAGAAACAGGGUCUCACUCUGUCGCCCAGGAUGAAGUGCAGAGGUGAGAUCAGGGCUCACUGCACUCUCAACCUUCUGGGCUUAAGUGAUGUAACUGCCUCAGCUUCUCAAGUAACUGAGACCAUAGGCGUGUGCCACCAUGCCUGGAUAAUUUUGUUUUAUUUUUUGUAGAGACGGUUGCCCAGGCUAGUCUCAAACUCCUGGCCUUGAGUGAUCCUUCUGCCUCGACCUCCCAAAGUUCUGUGGGAUUACAAGUGUGACCUGCCACACCCAGCCUGUGAUACAAUUUUUAUAUCUCCGAAUUUUAAAAUGUUUGGAUUUGUAAAGGAUUCUUCUAAAAUGGCAUAUAUUCUAAUCUUUACCUAAAUUUCCUCGUUACCCAACUUUUUCCUCAUCCAAAGCUUCUUUUUGUUGUUGUUUCAAACCUGAAAAUAUCCAUCCCCACUUGAGUUUCAGUUUUGAGCUAUAUAGUACUUACUAGGCUUCUAUCAAUUGGAACAUUGACCUGUUUAUAGUUUUUUUUUAAAAUUCUGUCUAUAAUACAAUGAUCCAGUAUACAUACUAUUCCAUACUGUUAACUUUGGUGUAGGAAUUCUGUUGUUGGUCAGUAAGGUAAGUGGAAUAUGUCUUUAUGACUUAUUGGAAAAGACAAACCUAGCUUGGCUUUUCUACGUGUUUUACAUAUGUACCUUUGAAAAGGUAUGCUUAAAUAUUAAACAAAAAGUACAAGUAGAAUAUUUAUACCAUGCAAUCAAACUGUGCAGAUUUUGAAUGUUUAAAUUUUGCCAUGUUUAACUUUUUUAAGGUUGCAUGCAGAGAGAUAAAACAACAAUGGACACUAGUCAGAUUCUCAUAACCAGUGAGGGGGAAGUAUCUUUUUCUAAUAAUAGAAUGAUCUUUGGUUUGUGAAAAGAGGUGUGUAGUUGGAAGUUAAUGUAUUUUUCUUUACAGAGUAUACAGCAGUUUACUCCUUUUAACCUGUUAUCAGAUUUAUUUUGGAAAGAAUUGUGUGAGUAAUGUUCUGAAUUUAAAAAAGCAUUGCAGGAAAUUGAUGUGUGAUUAUUCUUUUGAGUACAGUGCCCUUUAAGAACUCAGUGGGUAGUUAUGUUUACUUGUUUAACUGCAUCACAUUUAUUCAUGAUAGACAAGACAGCAAGUUAGUAGAUGAACUUAAUGGAUGAAUUUGUUUUGCUUUGUUAUACCUUGCAAGAAAGCACAAAACAAUCAUCUAAGGCUUUAUCGUCUAAUUUCCAUCAGGUACUGUGUUACACUGAUUUGCAUACAUUGCUGGACUUAUUUUUAACAGCCCCCUGAACUUUAAAUAGAAAAGGUAGCUCCUAUCCUGGAAGAACUCACAGUUCGGUAGGGAAAGGGAGGCAAGGAGCAGGAACAGAUGAGUCAACUGAAAUUAUAAUACCCUGUGAUAAAUGCUGUGAAGGAUAUAAAUCCUGUAUGCUAUGGAAGUAAUGGAAUAGGUUCACUUAACCCAGUAGUUUGUGGGGAGGAGGGAGAGGAAGAGUCAAGAAAGACUUCUCAAAGAAGAUCCCCAGAGCUGAGGGAUAAUAGGAAUUAGGUUGGGAUAAGGCGGUUGAGGGGAGUAUGUUCCUUGUAGUACUGAACAAACACAAGAGCAUCUAAGAGCAUUUCAGUCUUUUAACUACAAUAAUAGGUAACAUUUAAUAUACAGUGCUUAUUAUGUGCCAAUUGCUAUUCCAAGUGCUUUGUAUUUUCCAUGUAUUAACUCCUUUAAUUUUCAUAACAACUUUAUUAUGUAGGUAUUAUAAUUAUCCCCAUUUUACAGAUGAGGAAACUGAGGUACAGAAAGAGAAAAUAACUUGUCUAGGAUCACAUGAUGAGAAAGUAGAAGAACUAGGAUUUAAACCCAUGUUGUCUCAUUUCGGAGUUUUGGCUUUUAUUAUGAGAAAAGUUAAACUCUGGAUUGCACCGGAGAUAAGUACCUGGGGUGAGAAAACCUUUUCAAUUAAUUCUUCUUACUGAAACACAUAUAUUAUUUUCUUAAAAUCUGAAGCAGUGGAUCCUAUCCAUUUUUUUCUGCCUCUGUAAGAAUGUUUGGCAUCCUUUAUCUUCUCAUCUCCAAGCUUUCCCUAGUAACCAGCCCUCUUAAACUUCAGCAUUCUCGAACUUCUCCCUUCUGUUUUCUCUAGAUACCAGCCUUUUGCUUCCCCUUAUCUCCAGACUUCUUUGUAAACUCCUCUAAACUCCCUGCCUCUGCUAUAUAACUUUCAUUCCCUCCUCAUCCCAUUGAAAUCUGGGUUCUAAAGAGAGAUUUAUGAGGAAACUUGCUAGGCAGUGUAGGGUUAUGCCUUCUUUUUGUUUUUCUAAUAGUGCUUGACAGGUCAAGGUGUAGAAGUAGGAGUGGAGAUGGCAGCCCUCCAGGAUUGGGGUCUUUGUUAGGAUGUGGAACAGAAGGACAGGGGAGCAAGGGAGUGGAAAGUCUUGACAGGAAUGUCAUUCAUGGACCCUGUGGUCUCAGUAGAAUUUAGAAGGAAGUGAAGACGGGAGUGAAUUGAUGGUCUAGGGGAAAAUGGAAGAGCAGGAGGUCAGGUGAAUUGCAGAAAAGCUCUUUAAUGGGAGUAAAAGAGCCAGAGGUCUGGGAGUAUUGAGGUAGUAUUGGGAGAGUUUAAAGUUUUAGAGGAGGAACUGUCCUGAGUGAUACAUUUCAAGAUCUGGUGGUCAUUGGUGUGAAUGACUGAAGUGACAGUCGUGAGAGUUCAUGCUGACUCACCUACAGUGAGGAUGGGCCUUGUGUGUGCAGUGGAGCACUGUGAUGAGCAAUGAAAUAAUGAAAGCAUCAUUUGCAAGAUGGUGUUACCUUUGCCCACUUCUUGCUGUCAGAUGGUAGAUACUUAUUUCAUUAACAGGAGUUAUGUUUAUUUUUGUAAUUGACAUUUUAUUCUUGUUUGCAUAGAAUAAUGCAAAAUCUUCAUUGAAAAGGAGCAGUAUCUGUAGUAUCAAAUUCUUUUGUGUGUCAUUUUUUUUUUCAGUAUAUUUUCUAACAUAACACUUAACAUUAGCAGUAUUUUGACCUUUUCUGUCAUUCUGGACAAUCUGUUCUGGCAUUUUCCUUCCGGAAAAUAGAGAAGAGAAAAAAAUAUGAGAUGAAGAACAAAUGGUUGGGCACUCAUCUUUAAUUUUGAUUGUUAGAAUUGUUUAGGUUGUUAGAAUUCUGGUUGUUAGAAUUGUUGUAGAUGUUUGGGGAACAUCCAUCAUGGAUCAGAUAGAAAAGAAAACAGUGUUUUUGGCUUAUUAUUACUUUGCUUUUUGUUUUAAUUUUAUAUAGUUAUAAUGUUACAAAUAUUUCUCAAUUUAAAUUAUAGUGUUUAAAUUUUAGGUAAGAAUGGAAAAUGAUGCCUGUUAACAUUUUUAUUCUUGAGAAUGUUGCCACAGGAACAUUAGAGAAAAAAAGUAAUCUUGUGUUUUGAGAGAAUUCAUUUGUUGUUGACAUUCCCCUCAGAGGAUACUACUUUGAUAUGUACAAAUAACAAAGGUAGCAAUAUGGUUUGUUGGUUUUCUUUAAACUUUGGCAUAGCCAAACCUUUAGUGGACCCUGGAGGCAUUUUCUUAUCAACAAAGUGGAUCAAACUGACUCUAAAAGUGGUUUCUAGUAAUCUGGUAAACAGAAGAAACAUAUAAGGGCCCAGCAUAUCCUAAACAUUUCAAUUUUCUGAUAUACUAGAGCACUGUUUUUAAAAAUGGAUUUUAAUAACAUUGUCUUCUUAGUUAUAAGUUAUUUUAUUUCUCCAAAUUUUGUUACCUUCCCUAAUUAUGCUCAGUUUAGGAGCAUAAAUGAACACAUAUACACAGACUUUAUUUUGCUGGAAUUCUAAAAGCAAAUUAAGACAUUAUUUUAGUAGUUUCAGAAUUGUGUUCCUCAAGAGAACAGUAAAGAUUUAAGUAACAACAGUUUUGGUUAAUAACAGUGAAAUUUUCUUUUUGUGAGGUGUAUUAUAAGAACAUCUCAUAUGAGUAGAACAUGAGGUAUUUUAGCUUUAAAGCUAAUCUUGGGCCAAGUGUGGUGGCUCAUGCCUGUAAUCCCAGCACUUUGGGAGACAGAAGCAGGUGAAUCACUUGAGCCCAGGAGUGUGAGACCAGCCUGCCCAACAUGUGAAACCCCCAUCUCUACAAAAAAAUCCAGAAAUUAGCCGGUGUGGUAGCAAGCGCCUGUGGUCCCAGCUAUUCAGGAGGCUGAGGUGGGAGGAUUGAUUGAGCCCAGUAAGUCAAGGCUGCAGUGAGCUGAGAUCAUGCCACUGCACUCCAGCCUGGGUGACAGAGGGAGACCUUGUCAUAAACAAACAAACAAAUAAAUAAAUAAAUAAAAUUAAGCUAAUCUUGAAUUCAUUUGUACUUAACUAAUUAGGCCUAGUAUUUGUCAAAUUCAUAUAUUAUUUGGUAGAGUAUGGAGGGAAAUAUACUUAAGUGUUAGUUUGGAGAGGUAGUUUUAGUAUGUUAUUGGGGAAUUUUUACUUUUGACUUUCCCUCAUGGUCUCUGUAUAUCAAGUACUAGGAAAACAGCAUUUUUCCAUUAAAGGGCUCAUACUUCUUGGAACUUCUGGUCUGACAGGCUGAUCUUGUUUGUGUGACUACAUAGGCUAUGUUUAGGUUUCUUUACGUAUUAGGCUUUACAAAGAAGAUGAAAACACCAUAUCACUUUUGUCAUCACGGAACAUAUUACAGGUUUCAUAAUGGAUAACGUAAAAUAAUUCAGCUCACUGUAUUUUUUGUUUCUUCGUUAUAUCUUUUUUUUUUUUUUUAAACAGAGCCUCACUGUGUCGCCCAGGCUGGAGUGCAGUGGCACUAUCUUGGCUCACUGCAACCUCUGCCUCCCAGGUUCAAGCAAUUCUCCUGCCUCAGCCUCCCGAGUAGCUGGGAUUACAGGUGCAUGCCACCAUGCUUGGCUAAUUUUGUAUAUAUAUAUAUAUAUAUAGUUUUAGUAGAGACCGGGUUUCACCAUUUUGGCCAGGCUGGUCUGGAAUGCCUGACCUCAAGUAAUCCACCUGCCUCGGCCUCCCAAAGUGCUAGGAUUACAGGUGUGAGCCACCGCUGCAAGUCUCUUCUUCAUAUCCUGAUUAUUUAAAUCAAAUGUAUUUCUUUUCUGAGGUCUUGGAGUUUUCCCCAUGUUUUAAAAUGUGUUUCCUUACCUUUUAACUUAUAACAGAAUCCCUUUAAGACGCUUUUACAAAUGAAGGCCAUGCUAUUUGCUAUUAGGAUUAUCUGAACAGACCAACAGAGAGUAUAUUUGACCAACAGUCCAGGUUUCAUGUGAAGAAGGAGAAGCACGUAUGUUUGUAGUUCUUUGUAGUUUGUGCCUACAAAACAGCAGUCACCACUAAAAUACUUAUUUGAAAUAUUUUAAAGUGCUGAGAUUACAUGCGUGAGCCACCGCGCCCGGCCUGAAUCUGUUUUUAAUGUUAAUUUUUUAUUUUUCUCACUGAAGGGGAACCAGCGCCCUAUUAAACUCCAUUGUUGGUAAUUUGAGAACACAAACCAAUUAAUAUCUAUAUUCUGAAUAAUUAUAUAGUUAAGGUGCAGCUUUUAUUAUAUCUGGCUUUUUACUUUGUUGCAAACUCCAAACCAAAGAAUGUUCAUAACUGUCCUACAGCAGUGAAAUGAAUUAAAGUAAUUCUGGUCAUUAGAAAAUCUUUAAAUUAUUUUAAGAAUACGUAACUGACUGUGAUAACUUCUUGUUUAUAACAGGUUAACAUGGAUGACUAGUUUAUAGCUUUUGAUCUUAUGUGUAAUGACACUGGGAAGAAAACAUGUAUCCCUCUAAGGUAGCAUUUCUGUUAUUUCUAUGCCCAAAGACUGUGCUGACCGCCAUUUUGCCAGAAGCUUUGAACACUGUUGACUGAUUGAUGUGUACAUCUAAUUCAGAUUUACAUAAUCUAAUUGGACCCUUGGGUUCUUAAAAAAUGGCCUUCUUUUAUCACCAUAUGUGUUCAUUACAAUGCAUAUUUUAAAAUGAGAUGGCCCAAAGAGCAUGCUAUGAUGAAUUUACUGUUGAAAUACUUGUGAAACUUGGAUAAACCUAAUUAUCAAGGGACAGUUUCACUUAAGAGGGCAAAAGUUUCACUUCAAAGAAAAGCCUACUGCUCUUGCUUUUAAUGGUUUGAAUUAUGUUUUUAUCUUUCAUCAGCCCAAGAGUUUGUACUUCAGGGUCAGAAACAAAACUUGGAGCCUCUGUGAAUCCUGUAAUCAUUUACUAACUCUCUUGUAGAACAAGAUGUCAUUUUUUCCUACUAUUCUGUUUCAUUCUUUAUUUUUCUGCCCCCCCCCCCCCAAACACACAGGAGAGUGGAACUUGGGAUUAUAAUUGGUUAAUGGGUUUUUUGGGUUUUUUUGGUCUUACUCUGUCACCCGGGCUGGAGUGCAGUGGUGCUAUCUUGGCUCACUGCAACCUGUGCCUCUCAGGCUCAGGCGAUCUUCCCACCUCAGCCUCCUGAAUAGCUGGGACCACAGGUGCCUGCCACCACGCCUGGUUAAUUUUUUGUAUUUUUGGUAGAGACAGGGUUUCACCAUGUUGCCCAGGCUGGUCUCAAAUUCUUGAGCUCAAGUGAUCCGCCGGCCUUGACCUCCCAAAGUGCUGGGAUUAUAAGCCUGAGCCACCACGUCCAGCCAGAAUUUUUUAUUUUUUAAGAAAGAAAGUUUAUCUUAGGUCCUCCUUCCCCCAUACCCCAUUUUAAUUUGGUGCCAGGUUUGCCUGUCUCUGUGGAGAAAAGAAUAGAAAUGUUGGCUGAGGGAAAGUUUUUAUGUCUCCUCUAAUACGUAUUUCAUUUUUUUCUAUUUGCUCCUUGCUUUUCUAAUACAGGUAGGAUAAAGAGGCAACUUCAGGAAUACCCAGACUUUAGCUCCAUCUAGGAAUUUUUAUUGGUUUGUUUUUUGACUAGAGUGUAGAAUGGAAGCUCUUUUGGCUGGGUUGGGUCCUUGGGCAAAAUAUUUCAGACUCCUGUAUUAUAUGGUGAAUUAAAUUGCUUCACUGGCACUUUUUCUUUUUUAAAGCCUGUUCACACUUUAUACAGUUUUUGAAGAGGAAAACUUUGGAUAGUGCUCUUUCAAACCAGGCAAAUGCCUCGGUUUCUUUUAAAAAAUCUUUGUAAAAUAAUAAUAUUAGUCUGACUUAAAGGUUAUGAUGGAAUACAUAUAAAACAUUUGGGAGUCUCAAUUCUAUUUAAUGUAGGUUCGAUCAAUGUUACUAAUGUGCUUUAGCUGCAAUAUAUUAAUAUUUGUUUCUUAGCAUCCUGAGGCUAGCCACUUGCCUCUUGUUCACCUUACUAGUACAACUAAACUAGUGUCUGGCCCUGAAGGUGGGCAGAAAAUAUUCAUUAAAUUGAAUUUUGAUGUAGGGAUAAUUCUGUUUCUUUGUGUCUUGCCUAAGUUUAAUUCAUGUCAUAGUCAUGUUUCACAUGUAUCUUAAUUCUUACUGCAUAAAAUGUUCAUGCAAAAGGCAGUAUUAAUUUUACUCAUUGUUAACAAUCAGCAAGUACUAUUCAGAGUCUGACUCAUAACCAUAGAGUAUCUUGAUGCUAUAAUCAGAAACAUUUAUUAUCCCUGGCUUUAGCAGUUGAACUUACAGGAUAAUGUUUAGUUCUCAUUAUCAGAGAAAAAGGUGAUUCAGGUAAUUUCUUCAUUUGUUCGUUUCUCUAUCCCUCUACCCCAGUGUCUUGAAAAAAUAUUUAGCUAGAAUGCUCAAAAAUGGUGUGUUAGCAUUCAUUUUCUUCCAUUAGGUGAUUUUUGUUGACUAUCAUUAAUAGCAAUAUGUAAGACUUACUAUUCAUUUGCCUAUUUAUUCAUUCUACAACAUUUAUUGUUUUUCUACUGCCAGGAACAAUUUGAAGUGCUGGAUAUAUUUAGUGGGAAUUGGUUUUCUUAGGCAGAUUAUCAUCUGUUUGUGAAGCUUUUUCACAGUGUACGUGCCUGGCCCCAAAUCUAGGAGAUUCUUGUUUGGUAUAUUUGGUGUGGUGUAAGUUCAGGCAUCUGUAUUUUUACAGAGCUUUUCAAAUGACUCUAAUGCACGUUUGCUUUUGAGUACCAUAGGAAUAAAACAAGUCUCAUUCAAUAGGUACUCAAAAUAGGUAAAUGCAGUAAAGUUUCAUAGAUGCUGUAAGAGAAACUGUUGGUAUAGUGUGGGCACAAAGCAAGAAGUCCUACUAGGUACCUCAGGAAAGGUUUCCUAAGAAUAGAAAUGCCUAGCUGAAUCUUGUUCUCCUAAGUGUUUUAGAGUAGGUGGAACCCAUGAAUCUAUAGAUUAGCCUAAGUAAAUUCCAGUAUGCAGGGCAAUGUGAACAAAAAGAGAGAGGUGUGAAACAGCUUACAGCAUUUUGGAAAUUGCAAGUAGUUGGCAUGAUUGAAUUACUAGAUGAGGAUGGUUAAAAAUAAGAUAGUUUUUAUGGUGCUGAAAACAAGCAUACAUUAAAGAAUAUGAAGAAAGGAGAAUAAGAGUAGACUUGAACUUUAGAAAGAUGACAGUGAUGGUAUGAAGCAUAGAUUGGAGUGGUAUGAGAAUGGAGGUAGGGAAAUGGGUUGACAUAGCCACAAGAAUCCAUACAAGAGCAAUUCAGAGGCCUCAACUAAAGGAGUCGCAGUUGGAGAGGAAGAGGAUUGGAAAAAAGAACCAUAAGGAGGUGGAAUCUUUGAGAAUCGGUGACUGACUGGAUUUAGGAGACAAGAAAGACGAAGUAAUUUCUCACCUAUAUGAAGAAUAUGGUUGAUGUGCCAAACAUCAAGCUUGUGAGCAUCUCCAUAUUUUGGAGGGAGUGACUGAAAGACACAAGAAUUAGCAACUUUCUUCAUAUUUCUUCCCCUUCUGAAUGUGCCACACUGUAUGCGAUCCUUAGCAAUUGUUUGACAACCAGUUAUUAUCAAACUUGAUCCUUUAUUUCCUUCAUAGCACUUACAAAUUGCAAAAAAAUUAUAAUUGCAUUAAUUUGUUUUGCUUUCUUCUUUACUAAUAAUAUCCAGCACAUACCUAAUGGCCAGGUCUAUUUGUCUAUCAGUCAGUGAGAUUAUAUAGAUAUAUGUGUGUGUCUGUAUACACAUGUGUACACAGGAGGACCUGUGUAAGCUGUUAAUCAGAGGUUGGCAAAUCUUUUCUUUGAAGGGUCAGAUAGUAAAUAUUUCAGGCUUUGUAGGCCAAGAGGCAAAAUCAUGGAUACUAUGUAGAUACUUAUAUAACAAGAGAGAGAACAAAUUACCAUGUACUUUAAAUUCAGAAAAUUCAAAAUAUAAACGAAUAGAAUAGUAAUUGAGUUAAAAACUCUUGCAAUACAGGUCUACUAAUGAGAAGAAUAGAAUUAUUUGGGGAGGACAACAUUUUGCCUAAUUGGGGUCCAAGUUUAGUGUUUCUUAUCAAAACUUUUGCAAAUGUUCUUCUGCAAAAACUAUUCUUGGCUUGUGGACCAUAUAAAAAGAGGCAUCAUACCAGAUUUUGCGUACAGGCUGUAGUUUGCUAACCCCUGUUUUUAUUGCUCAUGUGACUGUUGGGUCAGCUAGGUGAUUCUGCUGAUCUUAACCAGGCUUACUCGUGUAUCUAUGACCAGCUGCUGUGUUGGCCGAAGUUUGUGUAGGCUAAGAUGCUUCAGCAGAGACAGCUUGUUUCUGCUUCACAUGGUUUUAUCCCGAAGGAGGCUGGCCUUAUCUUGUUCACCUGGCAGCUGAGCAGUGUUAUAAACGAGGGAGUGGAAGUAUAUAAGGCCUUUUGAGACUUAGGCUAGUAACAUCAUUUUUAUUGCAUUCUAUUGGGAGACCAUCCCAGAUUUGAGGGAUGCAGCUCUUGAUGGGAGGAGCAGCAAAGGCACACUGCAAAAUGGCAUGGAUACAGGGAAGGGAGUAACUGCAACCAGUUUAGUAAACCAUCUACCGCAAUUCAGUUUCAUGACCGUGUGGUAUUUUGUUGAAUAAAUAUGCCACAGUUGAUUUAGUCGUUUUUCUUUUGAUGGACAUUUUGACUGUUUCCAGUUCUUGGCACUUAUAAGCAAUGCUGCUCAGAAUAAUCCAGUAUAUAUCUCCCUGUGCGUACAUGUUAAGAGUUUUAUUAAGGGGGGGUGUGUUUGUGUGUGUAAGAUAGAGUGCAUGGACAAAAUGUACAGUACAUAUGUAAGCCUAGAAGUGGAAUUGUAUGUAGGGUGUGCACAUCUUUAGCUUUAUCAGAUACUGCGAGAGUGACUAUAUCAAUUUAUAUUCUUACUACUAGUGUAGUUCUUAUUGCACCACAUCUUUGCCAAGAUAGUGUAAUUUUGCCAGCCUCAUUGCACAUGAAAUGGCAUCUCAUAAAGGGUAUAAUUUGUAUUUUCUUUAUUGUUAAUGAUAUUAAGUAUCUUUUCAUAUGCUUAUUGAUCAUUGCGUUUCUUUUUUUUUUUUGAGACAGAGUCUCGCUCUGUCGCCCAGGCUGGAGUGCAGUGGCGCGAUCUCAGCUCACUGCAAGCUUCGCCUUCUGGGUUCACGCGAUUCUCCUGCCUCAGCCUCCCGAGUAGCUGGGACUACAGGCACCCGCCACCACGCCCGGCAAAUUUUUUGUAUUUUUGAUAGAGAUGGGGUUUCACUGUGUUAGCCAGGAUGGUCUCGAUCUCCUGACCUCGUGAUCCGCCCGCCUCAGCUUCCCAAAGUGCUGGGGUUACAGGCGUAAGCCACUGCACCCGGCUAAUUGUGUUUCUUCUAUGAAUUGCCAGUUAAUAUAUUUUGCUUGUUAAAAAAAUCGUUACAUCUUUCAUUGAUUUUUAGGAAUUUUUAAAUUCUAAUUCUUUUUUGCUCGGUUAUGUAUGUUCUAAUAUCUUUCCCAGUCUGUGAUUCAUCUUUGUAUUUUUUAAUGGACUCCUAAUGAAAACAAGUUUUUAAUUUUAAUACUAUUGUAUUUAUCAGCCUUUUCCUUUAUGGUUUGUACUUUUUAUGUGUUAUUAAAGAAAGCUGUCUCUUCCAGAUCUUCAGAUUCUCGUAUGUUUUCUUAACGUUUGCUUUUUUACCUUUUGAUCCUUAGUCUACCUGGAGUUGAUUUUUGUGUAUGGUAUGAGAUGAGGAUCUAAUUGUUUAAGUAUAUGGAUUUCUAAUUCUCUCAACAUGAUUUGUUGAAUUUUUCCCUCUUUCCUCAGCUUUCCUGCAUUGCCAAAGCUCUGUCAUACAGAGUUUCCACAUAUACACAUGUUCUACAUUUCUUUUGACGCUAAUUUCCUGUAUAGGAAAGUUGUUCGGUUUUCACUUUUGAAGCUGGCACUUUUUGUUUACUACUAUGUUAUUGCCUGAGUAGUCUUGACUGAACUGUGCCCUUAAUUACUUUGGAUAAGAGUAGGUAGCAGUUUUUGGGUUGCUCACUAUAUGCUAGAUUAGUAUACUUAAAAUUUUAGUGCAUUUAAUGCACUAAAAUUUUAAUGCAUUAGCUCUUCAUGACAGUAGUAUGAAUUAACUAUAUUUUUUUGUUCCUUUUAGAAAUUAGUAAACUGAAGCCCAGAGGAAACUUAAUACUUAGCUAGGAUUAUGAACCCAUGCCAGCUAGCUUCAGGGUCUCAACUUUAAACCACUAUUUUAUAGUAUUUCUCAUUUGAUUUAUAAAUGUCUUGUCUGAUUUGAAACAUUUGAAUAGGAGAGUGGUUCCCAGUCAACCAUAACAUAUCUAAAAUUUGUCUGAUUACUGAUGUUUAAAGAGGUAAUUGUUAAAAUGAGUCAAGCAAGCGCUAUAAGGACUAGUUACAGUUUAUUUUUAGAAUUUUAUUAGGUUUUUUUAAAUGGUCACCUUUGAGAUCUGCCCCUCUCCCCUGCCACUCAUGAAAGGAAAGAUGCAGAAAAUGAUUCUUUAUUUUGGAAAACUAUUUUUGUGUUUUUAGAUGUCUGGAUUUUUCAUGUGUGCACUAGCAGAGGAUUCUUGCAUAAGAUAAUGGGGCCAGUGAGCAUGAACGGUUGUAGGUUGGAGAUGUGGUCCUCUGCAUGGGUUAUUUUUCUUUUUAAGAGCAAGAUAUAGGGAUAGAUAUAGCUGUUGGCACAGUCUAGGGGAACACAUUGUUUUAGAUAAUCUUGCCUCUUCCUGCCCUCUAGCCAAGCUUCUGAUAAGCAUUUUGCAUUGAGGAUGACCAACUUUGAUCUCUCCACUCAAUUUCCCAUGGCACUUGUUAUCUGUACCAGCUCUUUGGAAAUUCAUAUUCAAUUUAGGAUUUGAUUUUGUUUUUUGUUUUUUAAGACAGAGUCUUGCUCUGUUGCCCAGGCUGGAGUGCAGUGGCACAAUCUUGGCUUGGCUCACUGUAACCUUCGCUUCCCAGGUUCAAACGAUUCUCAUACCUCAGCCUCUUGAGUAGCUGGGAUUACAGGCACGUGCCAUCAUGCCUGGCUAAUUUUUGUAUUUUCAGUAGAGAUGAGGUUUCACCAUGUUGCCCAGGCCAGUCUGGAACUCCUGACUUCAAGUGAUCCGCCUGCCUCAGCCUCCCAAAGUGCUGGGAUUACAGGCAUGAGCCACUGUGCCCAGCCUUGAUUAUGUUUGAUAACACUUUUGUAUUUUUCUGAUUGCUUUGAAAAUAUGUUUCGUGUACCUAAGAAUAGAACCUUAGGAACCUUCUUGGGACAGGGAUGGUGUUUUAUACUUAUUUUUAAUCAUCUCUACAGUCUUAGCACAGCAGCUAAUUACAGUGCAGGUGUUCAAUAAAUGUUGCUUUUUUUGAGAUGGGGUCUCACUAUAUUGUCCAGGCUGAGGUGCCAUGGCUACUCACAGGUGCAGUCAUGGCAUAUUGCAGCCUCAGGCUCCUAAGCUUAAGUGAUCCUCCCACCUCAGCCUCCCAAGUAGCUGGACUAGGGGUGCCCACCACUGUGUCUGGUGCUUCUUUCUUUUAGUGUGGCUUAACUAAUGAGACCCCAGAGAUAAGGGCAAAUUUUAUAUUUGAUUUAAAAUUGUUGAGUGUUUUAUUCAACACUAAUUUAUUCAGUGUACUUUGUUCAGCGAAUUGCGGGAAACACAAGAUGAAUCAGAAACCGUAUCUGCCCUCAAAGGGACUAAGUUCUUAAACAGUUUAAGUUAUAAAUAUAGUUGCUUGCUUCUGUGUACAUACGUACCCUCUUAGUUUCACAGAGGGAGCUAGAAGUUGUUUAUAAUUUAAUUGAGGAGAUCAAACAUAUGAAGAAAAAUCAUUCAAUGUAGAAUGUGGUGAGUCACAAAGCCCCUGGGGAUGGAUUUUGUACUUGAGGUGGGUUGAAGAAAGAUGCUUAGAGUGGCAGUAACAAGGGAGCUGGGCCCUCAAUAAAGAAGGUAGGAUUUUGACAGGUGGGUUAAGGAUGGAGGGUGGGGUUGCAUUUAAGAAAGAAAAAAACAGUGUGAAGCAAGGUCUGGUAGAGGCAGAAAAAGCUGGCCAUGUUUGGAGCAAAAGUAGUUCAAUUUGGCUAGAAUAUAGGAGAGAAAAGUACAUAAAUUGGGGCCAGUUUAUGUAGAGUCUUAAAUAUCAGGCUAAGGUGUUUGGACUUAAUUCAGUAGACAGUGGGGAGCCACUGAAGUGUUUUGAGUAAUAUGAUCUGAGCCAUACUUUUGGAAGAUUAAUCUGGUUGCAUUGUCAGUAAUGAAUGAGAAAAUGAAAGUGUUUUCCAUUGUUGGAACACUUUUUUGUUUUCUUUAUAAACAUAACUAAAACAAAUGUAAGCUUAGUGUAGCUAUCAAAUAACACUAAAAACCUUUAUUAAUGAAAAUGUAAGAAAAGAUAUGUUUUUGUAUAUCCAGCUAUUUUAAAAAACAUGUCGGCCGAGUGUGGUGGCUCAUGCCUGUAAUCCCAGCACUUUGGGAGGCCGAGGCGAGUGGAUCACCUGAGGUCAGGAGUUUGAGAUCAGCCUGACCAAUAUGAUGAAACCCUGUUUCUACUAAAAAUGCAAAAAUUAGCCGGGCGUGGUAGCAUAUGCCUGUAAUCCCAGCUACUCAGGGGGUUGAGACAGAAUUGCUUGAACCCGGGAGGCAGAGGUUGCAGUGCGCCAAGAUCGGGCCAUUGCACUCCAGCCUGGGCAACAAGAGCGAAACUCCGACUCAAAAAAAAAAAAGGCCCUAUUCACCUGUUGGCUUCUAAUUCAGAUUUUUGCAUUUAGCCUCUUCAGUGAGUUAUGUACCACAGAUAGAUAUAAACUUCCAAAAACACAGUUCCGAUUGGUAUAUUUUACUACUCAAAGCCUUCAGUAUCUCUCCAUUUGGCUGCUGAAUAAAGUCCAGAUUUCAUACCCCAACAGUCAAGGCCCUCCCUCAUUCAUCUCUCCUACUACUCUACUCUCUGGCUGUUUCAGACAAACUAUUCUUAAGACUCCUUGUGAUUUCCUACUUCUUUGUCUCAUUUACUCUAGUUCUUGUGACCUUCAUAGAGUCUUAAGAAUAAAAGGGAGGGAAGAUAUGUUGAAAUCUUGAGAACACCUGUGAGUAGGUCAUAUGUGGCAGAGCUGGGAUGAAAGCUCUUCUAUUACUUGUUAUUUUUUGUAAUUGCUAUGUGCCAGGUAUUGUGGCCAAUCCUGGGUUAUGAUGGUAAGUGAAACAAAAGUGAUCUCUGCUCUUUAUACCUUAUGGUCUAUAGAGACAAAUAUUAACCACUAUAUAUAGUAAACCAAUGUUGCAAUUACAAACUUGGAUGGGUCCUAUCAAGGAAAAGUACUUUGAGGUACUUUAAGAGAAGAUAAUGGGCAAAGGGAGUACAGCUAAUUUAUAGUGGUAUGUCAGGAAAGGUCUCUUUAAGGAAGUGUUUUUUUUUUUCUUUUUUCAUGCUGCCCCAUGUGAUUAAGAGGAAAUGAAUUUUAAGCUGAGAACUGACAUAUGAGAGCAUGUAGGUAGGGCAAAGAGUGGAGAAGGGCAUUCUAAGCAGAGUGAGCAGUAUGCACCAAGGCCCCCAAGUGGAAAGGAAUUUGGGGUAUUAGAUGACCUCAAAGGUCAGUGUGGCCAGAACAUAUUUUGAUUACUGAGGAGUAAGAUGAACCUGGAGAGUUAAGGAGGAACCAGAUCAUAUAGAGCCUUUUAGACCAUAUUGGAUUUUGUAUUUUAUAUAAAGUACAUUGAAAAGAAAAUGGCAAUUGAAGGGCUUUUGAAGAGUGACACAGUCCAGUUUGUGUUUUUAAAAUAUCACUGUGAUUAAUAAUAUAUCCAAAAUUCAGCCACUUCUUAUCUCCACAGUCUCCACCCUGGUAUAAAUCUCAUUUGAAUUAGCUAGUCUCAGCUUCCACCCUUCCAGCCCUACAGCUAUUCUUUUUUUAUCUUUUUUCUUAAGAAAUUUUUUUAAAAAAAUUUAUCAUGGCCCAGGCACUCACACCAACAGCCUAUUCUAGACAGUUACCAGUUUUUUUCCUUUAAAAUGUUAGAGCAUGUCUCUCCUGCUCCAGAUCUUCCCACGGUUUCCCAUUUUACUCGGAGUAAAUCUCCGAGACAUGCUCCCACCUCAGGGCCUUUACACUUGCUGUCUCGUUUGCCUAGGAUGCUUUUCUCACAGAUACCCAUGUAGUUCACUUCCUAACCUCCUUCAGGUCUUUAUACAACUGGUGAAUCCAUACCAGACCCCAUCCCUGCCAGUCCUUCCCUACUUUAUUUUUCUCUGACUUUCAUACUAGAAUGUAAAUUUCACUGGAUAAAGAAUUUUGUAAGAGAGUCCUGUACUGAUCUAUUCUCAGGAUGUGUAAUGCUGUAUAUAACAGGCAUUCAGUAAGUAUUAGUUGAAUGAGUAGCUUGGUGGAGUCUAGAGUAGCAGCUGAGAGAACAGUUUAAAGGGUCUGAGUCUAGAUGAGAGAUGGUGGCUGAGACAAAGAUUGUGGAAGAUGCAGAGAAGCAGGGGAUUCAAGAUACAUUUUAGAGAUAGAAUUAACAGGACAGUUCACAAUGAUAAGAUAACUUAAGUUUUUGCCUCACAAGUUUAGCGUUUCUUCUAUUAAACCAUUAUGAAAUGUCAUUGUUAGCUAGUAAUUUAAGUUAGUAAUUAGGUUAUUCAGAGUCAUUGAUUUAGCCUGUGUCUAAAACCAAGCAAUGUAGAUGGCUGCCAAAUUCACUAAUGGCAGCAGCAUGUGGUGAAGGUUAAAGAAGAUUUGAUAACUCUUUUAGGUAUUUAAAAUAUUUGUAUAUUUUUAAAAAUCAAACUUAUGAGACAGUGCAUGCAGUAGUGAAAUGUAUAUAUAUAGCUCAUUUGAGGAGUACUCUUAGGGUUGUGGUUCUCAAAUAGGGACAGUCUCUUGCCGUACCCUCCCCCACCCCCCAACAUUUGGCAAUGACUGGAGACAUUUUUGAUUGUCACAACCUGAAGAAUGGUGCUCAUGGCAUCUAGUGAUUAGAGGCCAGUUAUGCUGCUAAACAUCCUGCAAUGCACAAAGUCAGUCUCCUCCCCUCUCUGCAAAGAAUUAUCUGGUCCAAAAUGUCAGUAGUACUUAGGUUGAGAAACCCUACCUUAGGUAUUAAAACUCAAGCUUCAAUUUAUGUCAAUGCUAAGCCUGCAGCUACACUGUUAAAUCCACAGACCUGUAUACUUCUACAACUUGUUGUGUAUACAAGGUGUGAUUAGAAUGGUUGCACUUUUAAACAAAUAUAACUGACACACUUGCAUGCUUAUGCACAGAAAUCCAGUUGAAAGCUCCACCUUCACAAUAGUUCUCUUGGGAAGAGUUUGCAUUUAUAUGAUUCUGCCAUUUUUUUAAAUUUAUUUUAAGUUUCAGGAUACAUGUGCAGGACCUGCAGGUUUGUUACAUAGAUGAACACAUGCCAUAGGUUCUGCCUUUUUUAUAGUUGCCUUUGAAACCUGGAGCAUACCCUUUAAAUCUCCUUAAUGGUACCAAAUUAUCUUCCGAAGGUGGAUUUGGAAAUAUCCAGUGCUUUCUGAAUGCAUUGUGAUGGGUGUAAUCAGGUUGGGUAGUAAUUCUAUUGUAAGGUGAAAUUGAGAUAUGGCUAUAAAAUAAUAAUUGGUGGUUUAAAAGUAGUGCUUUUACAAAAUCUUUUCAUCGGUAAUUAAGUGUGUCAUAAUCUCAAUUUGAAGAGGUAUGUGCAGAUGUUCUAGAAUUAUUAAAACAAAAUCAGUAUCAGAAUGUCAAAUAUUUAAAAGAUUGUUGUCUGGGAUCAAGGGAAACAGCCACUGUCACAUAAUAUUGGGAAGGUACUUUGGCACAAUUUGGUAAUACUAUUAAUUUUUUUUUUUUUUUUUUUUGAGAUGGAGUCUCGCUCUGUUGCCAGGCUGGGGUGCAGUAGCAUGAUCUUGGCUCACUGCAAUCUCCACCUGCUGGGUUCAAGCGGUUCUUCUGCCUCAGCCUCCCAAGUAGCUGGGAUUACAGGCACGUGCCACCACACCCAGCUAAUGUUUGUAUUUUUAGUAGAGAUGGGGUUAUAUCGUGUUGGCCAGGAUGGUCUUGAUCUCCUGACCUCAUGAUCUGCCUGUCUUGGUCUCCCAAAGUACUGGGAUUACCGGCGUGAGACACCGCAAAAUGUUCAUAUUAUUUCACUUAGGAAUUCUGUCUCUAGCCAUUUGUUUACAGACAUUUUUACACCAGUAAGGAAAGAUAUGAAAAGUGCUGUUUCUUGGAGGUUUGUUUGUAAAGUGGAAAAAUUAGAAACAACCCAAUACCUGUAUUAAUAGUAUUAGUAUUGUGAUCAGUAUUAUUGAUCACAAAUCAUUAGUAUAUCCUUGAAGUAAAAUACUAUACACCACCAAAAAAUGAAGGUAUAAUGUGUACUGAUAUAAAAAGAGCUAUCAAAUAUAUUAAAUGGGGUGGGGGGAAGGAAGCUGUAAAAAGGAAAAAAAAAACCCACAAAAGUAGUAGGUAUGGCAUGUGAUACCAAACUAUAUAUGCAAGACAUGCAUAGAAGAGAGACCUGGAGGAAUAAAUACUAAAUGUAAUGGGAAUAGGAUAGUUUCCUAUAUUUCAGACUUGUUUGAUUGUAUUGUAAUGUUUUACAAUCAGGAAAAAAAAACUAAAACCGUGAGACAGUGAUCUUACUUAUAACUAGCUCUUUUAAGAUUUUGAAGCAGUCCUUUGUAUUAGUACAUAGCUACCGAUCUUUCUGCAGUUCUGUUUUUAUAUUAAUAAAUACCUAAAAUUGGCCAGAGAUUCCUAGGGCAUUGUUCUUCAUCUGAAGUUAUUUACUGCUUUAAAACAUUUUAAAAUUCUUCAUUGUGAAAGUAUCACAGUUACUGUGUCUUUUUUUUUUUUUUUUUUUUUUUUUGAGAUGGAGUGUUUGUUGCUCUGUUGCCCAGGCUGGAGUGCAGUGGUGCGAUCUUGACUCACUGCAAGCUCCGCCUCCCAGGUUCAUGCCAUUCUCCUGCUUCAGCCUCCCUAGUAGCUGGGACUACAGGUGCCUGCCACCAGGCCUGGCUAAUUUUUGGUAUUUUUAGUAGAGAUGGGUUUUACUGUGUUAGCCAGGAUGGUCUUGAUCUCCUGACCUCAUGAUCUGCCUGCCUCGAGCCUCCCAAAGUGCUGGGAUUACAGGUGUGAGCCACCGUGCCCGGCCUACUGUGUCUUUUUUAAAAUCUUGGGCUUUGAAAUACCAGUGUGGUAAACUGCUAAUCUGUGUUUACCCUGCAGGUGGCGCUGGUGGUUUUGUGGUGUUCUUCAGCGUGACUCAAGUAAAAUUCCCUUCAGCUGGGAAAUCACUUAGAUAUUGGUUCUGCUUGUAGAAUGUUAUCUUUCAUGUAAUCUGUUGAAUAUCAGACAUUUUCUUACUAUUAUUUCAAGAAAUACAUGUAGCAGGAAAAAAUCUACUAACAAAUUAUUAGGAUAUAAUUAUAUUUUAUACCUUAUUUAUCUACUUUAUUAUUCAUUACAAUUUCUGGGAAAAUUAAAUUUAUUUCAGCAGUUCAUUACUUUCCAACUCCCUUAAAAUUCCAAAACUUCAUCAAAAAACUGGCAGUAGAACUAAUUUUUUCAAAUUAAUUCUCUUUGAAGUCUUUCAUUUUCCUUUCUGUUUGUGUGUCUGACUCCCCCUUUCUUUCUCUCAGUCUGUCAAGUUCAAGAGCAGCUCAGAUGCCAUGAAUUAAGUGGAGCACAAAAGGGGGAAAGGAGACCCUUUUGAAGAACAAAGGCCUCCCAUUAGGCUGCCAUGUUCUUUUUUGACCAAAAGUGCACCCUACAUGGUUUCUAUUGUUGUCCACAUGCCCUGCACAUAAGGUAAAUACAGCAGAUCCUCAUUACCUCACGUUUUCCUCCUCUUCCUCCUAUGCCACACACAACCAGUGAAGCUUUGGGUCUUUGAUGUCUUUAGGCAUUCUUAUACAGUUGCUUUAUCUCCUUUUAAAAACCUACAGGGGUAGAAGUGGAAGUGGAGAGCAAUGCACACCGAGUAGUAAAACCUCACAAGAAGGGAAAAUGAGCUGUUAGAGAAGCUGCAACCCAGGAAUCCAGGGCAAGUGGAAAGAUCCAGAGAUUUUACUGUUGUUGUUCUCUAUUCUCUGUCUUUUAAUCCUAUAGCUUAAAAAUCCUGUAUUUUUAAAGUAAUAACUUUGAUUUACAUUCACUAUAGUUUUUCCUCCCUUUGUCCGUGUAACAAGACAGGCAGGUGGGAAUAAAUUUAAUUGCUGAGAGCAGUUCAUGUAAUGAUCAGAAAUUCUUGCUAAUCUGCUCCUACUUAUUGGAUGUUGGCUCUUUGGUGUCAUGGAGAUGGCUUUACUGUAGGUUUGUUGUGUUGCAUUACUUUUCAUUGGGAUUGAACUGAGAAAUAACAAACAAGCUUUAAGUGGGAAAUUAAAAAAAAGAAGUAACCUAUGUAGAUCCAAACUUAAAAUGUGAGAAAUUAUUGAAAUUUCAUUUUCUACAAACUUGAAAUUAGCCUGCUAAUUGUAAAGUUGUUUUAAUAAUGCUGACAAAUGUCAGUUACGUUUGCAAAGGAGUGUAUGGUUCUAGGUAUUUGCCUACUGUUAACCGUUGAGAAAAACAUUGUCAGGUUAGCAAGUCUAUUGAAAUAGAGACCUCCUUAGUUUACAGCAAAGAAUAAAUAGCUGAUGACUGGAGAUUGGGACUAAGGUUUUAUUUAUUUAUAUUCUUUGAAAGAAAUCGGACAGUUAAUAAGUGGUUUGUGGUAGAGUUGAAGGAUGUCUGAGAGAUGGAAAGAGAGUGACAAAGGAGGAGAAGGAAUAGUAUUUCUUUUUUAGUAUUGUUUUGAAAUUAAAACUCUGUUAUUUUAAUAUGGUAAAGAGCAAGAGUUGGGUUGGGCGCGGUGACUCACGCCUAUAAUCCCAGCACUUUGGGAGGCCGUGGUGGGCAGAUCACCUGAGAUUAGGAGUUUGAGACCAGCCUGGCCAACAUGGCGAAACCUUGUCUCUACUAAAAAUACAAAAAUUAGCCAGGUGUGGUGGCACAUGCCUAUAAAUCCCAGCUAUUUGGGAGGCUGAGACAGGAGAAGCACUUGAACCUGGGUGACAGAGGUUGCAGUGAGCCGAGAUCCCGCCACUGCACUCCAACCUGGACAACAGUGUGAGUCUCUGUCUCAAAAAAAAAAAAAAAAGAGUAAGAGUCGAACUUAGGACAACGUAUGUUUUCUUUUUUUUCUGACGUUGAGCUAAUGGUGGGCAAUUUGUGACUUAACAUUUAGUGACCACCUUGAACUCUCCCUGAGUUUGUGGGUCUGCCCUUUUAGGAUUAUAGAGGUGAUUCAGUGGUGUUAAAAACAACAUUAAAGGGAUUAAAGAAGUAAUUCCUUUGUAGGAACAGUAGUAACAUUUUAUUUUGAAAAUUUCAUGAGGAAAUUUUUAGUAUUCCUAUUUUUUUCCCCAUAUGUUCUUCAAAUAAAUAUACAUAGCACAUUCAACAUUUUUGGUCCUAAGAAUUUCUUAUAUUAAAAUCUGACUAGCAUAGCUGAAGUUAAAAAAAAAAGGCCUGUUAACUACUUGAGGAAAUGUUUUGACUCUUUAUGGACCCUGAAUAUUGCUUUUCAGGAAGUAUUCCUUGUUUUGUUUUUUUGGGUACAGCAGUCUGCAAGAAGCCUUUGGUUUAUGUACUUGGCAGCAAAAUAAAAGGCAAAGAGCUUCUUGCUGUGUGUUAUGUAGGAAAUUACCAUUCCUGUUGUCUGUGUAGGAUGUUCUAAAGAUGUAGCCAGGAAUCUCAGAGGAGAGAGAGAAGAGACAGAGAGAGAGAGACAGACAGAGAGUCAGACUUGUAGUUCUAAUAUUUUCUUGCUUUUGCCUCUGCCUCUGGUCAUACAUUGGAUUGUUUUUCUGCUUUUGUUCCUUGGGGUGGCAUCUGUCUUCAGGAGAAAUCACUCCAUAGUCAAACACAGAUUGCUGAACUGUGGCAUUUUUGCUGUUACUGUUAUCCUGAAUUUACUGGGAACAGUUUUAAUAUGGGUGCAUUUAAACACUUGUUUGUGGAUAGGGAGAGAUGGAGAGUGAAAUUUCAUUCUCUGUUGAAUGCUCCGUCUCCUGCCCAGCACAUUUCUGCCCCUUCCACAUGGUUUUUCACUAACUCCUGAAUGUUUCUCUAUGCUAAUCUGAAAGCUCUACAGCAGAGACUACACAUUUAUACAGUUCCCCACAUACAGGGUCACUUUAUGAAAUGAAUUAUUUCUUGACAUUUUUCAGGUUUGUGAUUGUACCUUUCCAAGCCAGUGUUAACACAUUUCAAAUAUUGUGAAAAGUUGAAUUUAUGCUAGCAUUGUUUUAAUUAUUUAAAUAACUUAACAUUUUAGAACCUUGUGGCUUUAGAUUUAAAGAGGUAUCAAGUCCUUAAAACAUUUUCGGUUAUUAUCCUAAUAUUAAUACAAUAAUAGUCAUUAGACAAAUAGUAAAUUUUAAAAAGAAUAAAAAUUAAAAAGAACACCUAACUGGGAAAGUGGGAGAGAAGCCAUUUAAAACAAUAAACUGAAACUCUUUUCCUGAGUUUCCUUAGAAGCCAUUUGGACAAUUAAUGGAGAGAUUUUAAACAUUAAAUGUAUUUGUGACUAAAACUUGCCUUUUCAACAAGACACCCGAACUGCCAAGACUUCACAGGGGUCUCAUUGUAGAGAAUUAAAAUUCAAUGAUGGUUGAAAGAGAAAAGGCAUAAUAAGAUUGGUCAGACUUCUAUAUUUAUUCAAAGAUUGAGCAUGAAAAGAUUUGGAGCUUUACAGUAUUUCAAGGAAGUAGGAUGUGUAAAAAGUUGAGAUGGGUGGCUUAUUUUCUGACAUGAGUAGAUUUUGAUUUAAAACAUUCAAGCUGUGCCCUGGGGAGAGGGAUGUGUAAGGAGGGAAGGAAUCUGAUGAAAUGAGGACCUCAGAGAGUUUCUGUGGAAGGCUUAGAACUGGAAGUGGUGAAUUAGUGAACCAUCAAGAAAGAGAAUAUUUUUAUAGACAUUUAUAAAUUUUUAUUUCCACAAACAUUGGAAAUAAUGUAGGAAUAGGCAAACAAUGGUCCUCAGGUCAAAUUCGUGUUUUCUGUUUUUGUAUGGCCCUUGAGCUAAGAAUGAUUUCUACAUUUUUUUGUGGGGGAAAAUAAAAAGCAUAAUAUUUCAUGACAUUAUAAUUAUAUGAAAUUGAAACAUCAAUAUUCAUAAACUUUUAUUGGGAUAUAACCAUACCCAUUUGUUUAUGCAUUGUCUCUGUAAUAUCUAUAGCUGCUUUUAUGCUGCAACAGCAGAGUUGAAUAGUUGUGGCAGAGACCAUGUGUCCCAUAAACACUAAAAUGUUUACUUUCUGACUUUUUACACGACAGGUUUGCUGUCCACAGAAAUAAAAGAAUGUCCGCAGUAUGUUAGAAUGAACAGUAUACAGUUUUUUGUAAGACUAGGAAUACUUGCCAUUAAUAAAUUCAUUUUCUGUAUUCUUAUAUUUGCUUAUCAGGAAUAAAUGCUUUUUUUGGUGAAUGGUUUUCAUUCUGAAAAAUGUCAAAAUAGUAAAUAUUACCUUUUUUUUUUUUUUUUGACAAUGCCCCCUUUUUUGGCUGGGAAUGUUCUUACUCUGGUUUUGUAAGUAUGUUCCCACACAUUAGGAUUUCAAAAAAAAAAAAAAACCAUAUUCAGAACUGUAUUAGUCAGUUCUUGCAUUGCUGUAAAGAACUUCCUGAGACUGGGUAAUUUAUAAAGAAAAGAGGUUUAAUUGGCUCACAGUUCCACAGGCUGUACAAGCGUGGUGGGGGAAGGCCUCAAGAAACUUAGAAUCAUGGCAGAAACUGAAGGGGAAGCAAGCAGGUCUUUUAUGACCAGAGCAGGAGGAAGAGAGAGAAGUAGGAGGGGCUACACACUUUUAAACAACCAGAUCUUGUGAGAACUCACUAUUACAAGAACAGCAAGGGGGAAGACUACCCCCAUGAUCUAGUCACCUCCUUCCAGGCCCCUCAUCCAACAUCGAGGAUUACAAUUUGACAUGAGAUUUGGGUGGGGACACAAAUCCAAACCGUAUCAUUCUGCCCUGGCCCCUCCCCAAUCUCUCAUGUCCUUCUCACAUUGCAAAAUACAGUCAUCCCUUCUCAGUAGUCCCCCAGAAUCUUAUUUCAGCAUUAACUCAAAAGUCCACAAUCCAAAGUCUUAUCUGAGACAAGGCAAGUCUCUUCCACUUAUGAGCCUGUGAAAUCAAAAACAAGUUAGUUACUUCCAAGAUAACAACACGGGUACAGGCAUUGAGUAAACACACCCAUUCCAAAAGGGAGAAAUCAACCAAAAGACAGGGGCUACAGGCCCUGUGCAAGUCCGAAACCCAGCAGGGCAGUCAUUAAAUCUUAAAGCUCCAAAAUAAUCUUUGACUCUAUGUCUCAUAUCCGGGCAGCACUGAUGCAAGGGGUGGUCUCCCAGGUCCUGAGGCAUCUCUGCCCCUGUGGCUCUACAGGGUACAGCCCCUCGGCUGUCUUUACAGGCUGUCGUUGAGUGCAUGUGGCUUUUCCAGGUACACAGAACAAGCCGUCAGUAGAUCUACCAUUCUGGGGUCUGGAGGACGGUGGCCCUCUUGUCACAGCUCCAGUAGGCACUGCCUCUGUGGCGACUGUGUGUGGGGGCUCCAACCCCACUCCCCUCUACACUGCCCUCGUAGAGGUUUUGCAUGAGGCCUCUGCUCCUGCAGCAGAGUCCUGCCUGGAGUUUCCAUACAUCCUCUGAAAUCUAGGCAGGAGCUCCCAAGCCUCAACUCUUGCCCUCUGUGCACCCGCAGGCUUACCACCACGUGGAAGCUGCCAAGGCUUACAACUUGCCCCAUCUGGAGCAGCAGCCUGAGACGUAUCUGGGCCCCUUUUAGCCACAAAGAAUUUUCUUUCUCUUGGCCUCAGGCCAGUACCUUUUAUGCCUUGCCUAUUAUGUCUGGCAGAAGUGUGGCAGUUGUUGGGAAAGUAACUGGGAGCUCUCAUAGGCUUCUGUAUGAAAAGCUAGGAUAACCACGUUAUGAGUAGUGUAUGGACAAGAACUUGAACUUGUGGUCUUUCCCCUCUCAUCAGCUUCAUAUUGCUUAAGAUAGAAAAAUAAGGGAUUUCAAAAUGUAAGAGUGAAAGAAAUUAGAGUUUGACAAAGAUAUAAAAGCCAUAGUUUAAAAUAAAUGUGUUUUAUUUUCUUCCUGAAUAAUUGAGCCUGAACCAGGAGCAUACUGUUCAUGUUUAAUCUCUAUGUGAAAAAACAAGGGUAGUAAUUGUAGAGCAAACUCUUGAUUUAUUCUGAAUGACCACCAGUUACUAACUAAAAAUACGAUUUUCCCCAACUAGGUUUUCUUAUUCCUUAUAAUAGUUGAAGAGUAAUAAGGUUGAGAUUUUCUUUUUGUGUGUUUCUUUGCUCACAUUAAGAAGGUUACUCUAUGCAGAACUUUUUGACUACUUUUAUUAGUUACGUACCCCUCCUUUCCCUUAAUUAUUAAAGCUCUAAUCUCUAGCAUGUAAUGUUUUGCUUUUAAUCUGUUGCUUCUCACCCUGUUGCUUUAGGUAAAGUUUAAGGGGUUUUAUUUUAAUAGGCCUGAGUAGAGAAUGAAACUAUGAAGAAUCUGACUAUAAAACUAGUAACAGAAAUUCACUUGGUUAUUUCAGAUAAUUCCUUUAUCUAAUAUCUUCCUUUCCUCUUCUUUCCUUCUAGGUCUUUUGAGUAUUGCCUGGAAUUUACUAUUUCUGACAAAUUUCUAUAGAACAUGUGGGUCUAUGAGGAAGGUUUCAUUUUAAAUAGGUAGUUACCUAUUUCUGUUAUUUUAUUGUCCUUGUUUUUAGAUGAAUUUUGCUAUGUAUUGGGUCUAUAUUUUGCCCUAGUAAAUAUAGACCAAAAUUACUCUGAAUUUUAACACAGUUAAAAUUCAGUCUUUGCUGAUUAGUAGACUUACUUCUUUGUAGACUCACUGUGUUUCCGAAAGGGUUGGGAGUUAAAAUAGUUUGGUUGUCAUUUGUUCAUAUAUUCAGUUUUCUGGACAAACCAUGAAUUAUAGUAAAGUUACGCUUUCUUGUAAAUCCAGUUCUUGCGAAAAUGCUUGUUGCCUUUCAUUAAUGACAGCAUUUCCAUCUAAAAAUAAUGACAACCCUCUCAUUUUCCUUUACAGCUCCUUCUUGUUUUCCACCUUUUUUGUUGUCUUUUAGAAAGAUACUCUUCUGAAACAUACUACUUUUAGUCCUGAGAUUUGCAGUGAAUGAAUUGCAACUGAUGAACUCUGGGGCUGCUAAUCUUACUUAGUCAAAUAAAUGUAUUUUUUUUUUUUUUUUUUUUUGAGACAGGCUCUCACUCCAGGUUGGAGUGCACGAUCACAGCUCACGGCACCUUUGAGCUCCCAGGCUCAAGCAGUCCUUCCACCUCAGCCUUCCCCCAGUAGCUGAGACUACAGGCUUGCACCAUCAUGCCUGGAUUUGGUUUUUGUUUUCUUUGUAGUGAUGGAGUCCCAGUAUGUUGCCCAGAGUGAUCUUGAACUCCUGGGUCAAGUGAUCCCCCCACCUUGCCCUCCCAAAGUGUUGGGAUUACAGGUGUGAGCCACUGUGCCCGGCUGUAAUAAUUAUUGAUAAUAGAACUAUGAUGAGAACAAUAGUGUUUUCUUACAGAAGACUUUUUUUUUUUGGCUUAUUUAAAAACUGUAUUAAAACUUUAAAUGUACAUCAUUCUUCAGUAUGACUACAGAAGGCCGCAAUGGCCCUGAUAUCUCUACUUGUUCUUUCUGAAAUUGAAGAUGGGGCCAAAUACUGUGUCUAAUUCAACAGUUCAGAUUUUUCAUUCCCACUUUUUAAAGUGUUAGUGUUCGCUUGAGCACACAGGCGAGAUUAUGGGAUCUUAACAUUUGAAUCACCUGGCAGAACUCUGAAGGUUUAGGGCAAGGAAAAAAAAGACAUCCCAAAAUUCUAUGCUUACUAUCACCCUGUCUUAGUAAUGGUAAAUUUUAAAUUCUACCACCCCCUGCCCAAAAAGAUGGGGUAAGAAUAAUGAUUGGUUAAGUGAUACAUGGAAGACUGCUACAUCCUAAAAAAGACUGAUGGAUGGUUCUGUGAAACACUGCUUAUGUCUUAGCUAUUUUCCAUUCUGAGGUUUCUGUAUAAGAAUAUCUUGUGCCCUGGAAAUAUUCAAGAAAAAGUACUUUAGAUGAGUCUUAUUUAAUAACUUAAGAUUUUAUAACAGAGAUGGUGGUUUGUGCCACAUUAUAUCCAGCAGUUAGCGAUCUAAGAACAAAAUAUUUAGCUUAUACUAGAAGACAACAGUAGUCCCCCUUUAUCUGCUGUUUCUUUUUCUGUGGUUUCAGCUUCCCACAGUCAACUGCUGUCCAAAAAUAUUAAACGGAAAAUCCAAGACAUAAUUUAUAAGUUUUAAGUUGCAUGCUGUUCUGAGUAGUGAGAUGAAAUCUCACGGCAUCCCACUCUGUUCUGCCGAGGACGUGAAUCUUUCCUUUGUUCAGUAUAUCCCAUGCUGUAUACACUACCUGCCUGUCAGUCAUUCAGUAGCGGCCUAUGUUAUCAGAUUGGCUGAUCAUUGUAUUGCAGUGCUAUGUUCAGGUAACACUUAUUUUACUUAUAGUGGUCCCAAGGUGCAAGAGUAGUGAUGCUGACAUAUUAUUAUAACUUCUAUUUUAUUAUUCUUAUUGUUAAUCUUACUAUGCCUAAUUUAUAAAUUAAACUUAAUCAUAGGUAUAUAUAUAUAGGAAAAACAUAGUGUUAUAUAGGGUUCAAUACUAGCCCCAGUUUCAGUUGGGGGUCUUGGAAUGUGCCCCCCACAGAUAAGAGGGGACUAUAUUCUUAUAGAAGAAGAGUUUGAUUUUUUAGGACGUUAUUUCCUGUUCAAACCAUUGACCCACUCUUUGAGAUAAGUUAUUCUGAAGCUUUCAUAUAAGUAAAAGCAAUUAAAUUUUGCCACCAGCACCAUCCUCAACCAUUCUGAAUUAUAAAGUGUUAAAAUUAAGAACAGGAAGAAUGGAAGUAUUCAAUAAAAAAUGAAGUAUUUUCAGUUCCAUAUUGUCAUCAAAUAAGGGUGGGAAAGGCAAAGGAGAAAAUCAAUAAGUAUGGAGAAGAAAGAAAUGAGUAGAUAGAACAAAAAAGAUGAGAAAGGAAGCCAUAUUGAAGUCAGGAGAGAGUGCAGAGCAAGAAAGGAUGGGCAGAAAAAAAGAAAACAAGAAAGGAGUUUAAUGAGUGAGUAGAAUGUGCUCUUGUUGCAUUCUACUGCCAGUCUAAGCCAUGGAAUAGUUCACUAUUCUGGGAAGUAUUCUUAAGAUCAUCAGUGACCUUCAGGUCAUGAAAUCUAAUAAGCAUUCUUUCAGACCUGUUCUUAUUUGACCUCUCAGUGGUGUUUGACACUCUCAACCACCAACUCUUUGUGAAACCUUUUUUUCCCUGAAAGCUGUGAGGUCGUGCUUUCUCGGUUCUCUUCUCAUGUCUCUGGUAACUCCUGCUUUGUCUACUUUGGGUUUUUUGUUUUGUUUUGUUUUUUGUUUUUUAAGAGUUGGGAUCUUGCUCUGCUGCCUAGGCUGGAGUGCAGUGGCGCAAUCAUAGCUCACUGCAACCUCACACUCCUGGGCUUAAGUGAUCUACCUGCCUUGGCCUCCUAAGUAACUGUGUUCAUUUGACACAGUUUAGGAACUAAAGAUCAGGUAAAACCAGCCAGUUCCUGAGCUGGAAUUGAAUCUGUUCAGAAUGUCUGGGAACUAACUCCAUUUUUACGUGUCAACCAUACCUGGCUAAUUAAAAAAAAAAAAAAAAAAUUGCCUAGGCCAGUCUUGAACUCCUGACCUCAAACGAUCCUACCUCAGCCUUCCAAAGCCUCGGAUUACAGGCAUGAGCCACCUCACCCCAGCCACCUUUGUUGUCCAGAGAUGUCAGAUUUUGUGAAAGCUCAGUCCUAGGCUUCCAUUUCUUUUCAUUCUACGACCCAGCAAUUAUAUCUAUCCCAAUGGCCUCAGUUACUACUCGCUGAUGCCGCAUGCCAUCCUCUGGUGUCCCACAUGUCAGUGAAUAGCAUCACCUUUUUUAUUCCAGUUUUCCAAGUUAAAGACUUAGGAGUAAUUCCUAAUACCCCCUCUCCCUCACUUCCCAAAUUCUUACUGUACUAAGGCCUGUCUAUUUGACAUCCUUUAAUAAUUUUCAAAUCCAUAUUCUCUGCUGUCUUAGUCUGAGUAGGAUUAUCUCCCCCUUGCAGCACAAUAGUAGCCCUCCAUAUCCUUGUUAAAUUUGUUCUGUACACUGAAGCUAGGGUACUGUAUCCUAUGAAAACACAAAUCCAGUCAUGUCAUUCUCCUCCAUAGCAUUAUUUCCUGCUACUCUUAGGAUAAAGACUAACAUUCCCCAGGCCUACUUCUCCACCUCCCCUCUUAUUUUUCAAACCCUCUGCACUUGAGCCACUGAGACUUUUGUUCAGAUUCUCACAGGUACCAUGCUCUGACCUUUUACUUCUCUGCUUAGUCAAUUUCCAUUUCAUUCUUCACGUCUCAACACAAAGACUGUUUCUAUAGAAAAAGUGAUUAUUGAUAUAUGGUCUUGUAAGAUUCUGUUCUUUUGCUUAUAGCAUUUAUCAUAAUUUGUUAUUAUGUAUCUCUGAGACUGAAAACUCCCAAGAGGGAUGGGACCUUGUCUGCUUUACUCACUGCUGUAUCUCCAGCACCUGGCACAUGGUAGGGAUUUCAUAGAUAAUGGUUAAAUGACUUGAGUUUGUCCUUUCUCUAGAUCUAGGGUAUUUGUCAUUUGUCCAUAAAUUUUGCUUCAGGAAAUUUUAGGGCUCAGCAUAAUCUGAUUAGGCUUCAACGAUGAAGAUAAUGUUACAUUUAUCAUUCGACACAGUUUAGGAACUAAAGGUCAGGUAAAAUCAGCUAAUUCCUGAGCUGUGGAAUUGAAUCUGUUCAGAUUGUCUGGGAACUUUAUUUUUACCUGUCCUGACAAGUCUUCUAAAAAAAGAUACGUUGACUUAGCUCACUUUUCAGCAAGCGUUUCAGUGCUUACAAUACGCCAGACAUUUUGCAAACUUUAAUUGGCUAUCCCCUUCAUUUGUUUUUCUAUUUUAAUAGAAUUUAAUAAAAUUCUAUUUUAAUAGAAUUUAUUUUAAAUUUGGUUUUCAAGACCUAUUUCACAUGGGUACAUAUUUGUGUCUUUGAGUAUGAUUCUUUAAGUAAAACACUUUGCAAAUAAAAUGAUCAUCUGAAAGAUAUUUUUUCAUUUGAUUGUAAUUAGUUAGGUAAAUUAAGGGGAAUACAUAAUUACACAGCUUAAAGAUAUUCAAAUGCUAUUGGAACAGGAUUGGUGUCUCCAUGUUCUUCCAUUUCCUUCUAUUCCCCCCUGAUUAUAAUGGUACACAGUGCUUACAGCAUACGCCUGAUAAUGUUAAAUGAACACACAUUAUGUGUAGAAUAUGCAGAAUCAUGGGUAGUGGUAUGUAACAAAUGUUGUUAACUGAUGAGAUAUAGCAAACGUGAAUAAAAAAGGUUUAAUUAACAUGGAUAAAGAAAUUCAGUCUUUUGUUUUAUAAUGUAAUGCAACUGACCUCUGCCCUGUGAUGCAGACAAGAGCUGUUACAAGUUAUCAAAAGUAAGUUUAUGAAAAAGAUCAUUUUUCUUAUUGAUGUUGUGUCCCCCCAUGACAGAACAUGUAACAGAGUUAAGAGAAUAAUGUGUGACCUACCCUCGCAAUCCAGAUAAAUAUAGAAAUUCUUGAUAAUUUAGUUAUAUGAGCUUGAGUAAUAUUUUAAAGGUGAGAAGAGUUAUGACUUAGAACAGAGGAAAAAUGUGAUUCUUGGUAGAGGGAACUGCAGCUUAAAUGUUCCAGAGGGGGCCGUGCAUGGUGGCUCACACCUGUAAUCCCAACUACUUGGGAGGCUGAGGUAGGAGAAUUGCUUGAACCCUGGAGGCGGAGAUUGCGGUGAGCUGAGAUUGCACCACUGCACUCCAGCCUGGGCCUCAGAGCGAGACUCCAUCUCAAAAAAAACCAUAUGUUCCAGAGGGAAUAAAUAUUGAUGGGAGUUGGGUGGGGACAGAUGAUGGAUGGAACUUAAGUUCUGGAAGGGUUAGCAAGCAGGUUUACUUGUCUAGAUUGAGAAAAAAGUGAUUCAUGGAAACUAUGUUUGGAAACAUAGGAUAAGCACUCUGACUUGACAAAAUGAUUUGUAUUUAAAACCAUAUUGUUGGCAGGGCAUAGUGGCUCACUCCUGUAAUCUCAGCACUUUGGGAGGUCGAGGUGGGCAGAUCACCUGAGGUCGGGAGUUUGAGACCAGCCUGACCAACAUGGUGAAACCCCGUUUUUACUGAAAAUACAAAAAUUAGCCAGGCGCCUGUAAUCUCAGCUAGUCUGGAGGUUGAGGCAGGAGAAUCGCUCGAACCCAGCAGGUGGAGGUUGCAGUGAGCUGAGAUUGUGCACUCCAGCCUGGGCGACAGAGUGAUACUCUGUCUCGGGGAAAAAAAAAAAAAACUUAUUGUAAAUGUGUGAUAUCAGAAAUAAUAAAGCUUUCCUCUCCAGAUCUUAUGAAAAUAAAAGUGGACAUGAUAUGUAGCAAAUAUGCUUGGUGUUUGAGCUUGAUUUUUUUUUUUAAAGAGAGAUUUUAUUGCCAUUACUGUUAUGUAGGGUUUUUUUUUUUUUCAGACUUUUAGUUUUUAUAGCUAGUCUAUUCAUUUGGAGAAUGUGGAAAAAUAACUCUGAACACUUCCCACUAGUGAACAUGUUAGGCUCUCAAUAAAACAGUUUCUAUAGUCAGUCAUCCUGUAUCAGUGUCAGCCAGAAUUACCUAAAGGUAUGAACAGUAUUAUGACAGUUACCUUUAAAACGAUAGGCAACACUGGGCUUUUACAUGGCCCUUUGUGUCAAGAUGUGUUACAGAUCAGUUUUGCUUCCUUUGUUUUGAAAUGAUUUUGAUUUAGCCUUUUGUGAACCUUUGACUUUUCUUCCCAUUUCACUAAGAUAACUUCUUUUGCAUGGUCUUUGAAUAGUCUCAUUUUUUAAAAAGUCCUAAGCAUAAAAAGUAAGAUUUUCCUUCUUUCCAACCCUUUCUGUGAAAUUAUAAUUGUGCUAAAGUAUCAGCUUAGAUUUCAAGCAGUCCUCAUGCCAAAGGCGUUUAUUAAGUGUUUAUAUGUUUGUUACUAUGCUGUAUUGUAUCAAUAAAGUAGGAACACACAGGAGUCACAUCUAUUAAGUGCUUUUAAAGUGCCUGGUAACACUAAUGUAAAUCAUAUUUUCAAUGUCAUUCAUAUAAAUAGUGUCAAGUCCUGCCUGCCCCCUCUCCACCAAAGCUAAGUAUCUUAAAUGCUAAGUAUCUUACAAGAUUACAUCCCCAUAGGAAGAGGGUGGAGUGUUUAGUCUUCAUUUGUGACUGGUUUAAAUGAAUAGAUACAGUUCUCCAAAGGUCCAUUUAUAGACCGGUCUUAACUUAAAAUGUACAUAAUGUAUUUGGGUAUUGACGAAAGAGUCAAACUCUGUAAAAUAUUUAAAGCGUCUUAUUCUGAGCCAAAUAUGAGUAACCAAGACCUGUGAUACAGCUCUAGGUGUGAUAGAGUUAACUGGGUGACAACUGAAAAGUGAAAUGAGGGUUGCCUGACAUCUGAGAAUCAUUCUGGAGUGAGACAGUCUGUUAAGGAGUAUUUGAUCAGGAAGAAGGUAGUGAUAAAAGAAAAACCUCGGCUGAAUUAAAUUUAAAAGAAUUUAAUUCAGCAACUGACGGUUUGCCAAUCGGGCAGGCCUCCCAGCCAUAGUAGGCUCAGAGACUCCAGUGCAGCCACAUGAUGGAAGAAGAUUUAUGGACAAAAAAAGGAAAGUGAUGUAUAGAAAAUGGGAGUGAGGUACAGAAACAGCUGGAUUGGUUACAGCUCAGCAUUUGCCUCAUUUGAACAUGGUUCAAACAGUUGACUACAUUUGAUUGGCCAAAACUCGGUGAUUGGCGUAGGUGUAGGCUACGGUCUGGUUACACCUCCACUUGUUAUAGUUCACCAUGUACAGAAAAACCUUUAGCCAAACUUAAAAUACGUAAUGAGGCAGCUUUAGGCUAAACUUGGUUUAACAGUAGAGACUUUUCCUUUUUGUUCCAGACUUGUAAAUUCUGCUGUCUGUUGAACUUCUCUCAACGGUGCAUCACAUUAAACAUAUCCAAACUCAUUCUUCUCCCUUUCAGGCCACACUUUUUCCUCUACUCAUAUUUUCCUGCUCAUCUCCUUCACUCAGUUGCACAUGUUACUUAGUACCAAGGCUUCCUUCUUUAUAUUGUUCAUACCUAGUUCUUUUCCAUUCUCAUGGCUACUACUUUAAUUCUAGCUCCUACUCUUGCCUAGGGUUCAUGGACUGGCUCCCUCACUAUUUUCAUACUUACUCCCUCAAAUCUAUAUUCAUACUGUUACUUAAGUAAACAAAAGAAUUUUUUUUCUUAUUUUUUUUUUUUCUGAGACGAGUCUCGCUCUGUCGCCCAGGCUGGAAUGCAGUGGCGCGAUCCCGGCUCACUGCAAGCUCCACCUCCCCAGGUUCACGCCAUUCUCCUGCCUCAGCCUCCCGAAUAGCUGGGAUUACAGGCGCCCGCCACCACGCCCAGCUAAUUUUUUGUAUUUUUUAGUAGAGAUGGGGUUUCACCGUGUUAGCCAGGAUGGUCUCGAUUUCCUGACCUCGUAAUCCGCCCGCCUCGGCCUCCCGAAGUGCUGGGAUUACAGGCGUGACCUACCGCGCCUGGCCAAAAAUUUUUAAAUUUCUAUUACAUCCCUCUUGCUUAAAACUCCUAAAACCACUCAGCUUUAAGGACUAACUUUAAGAAGUUGAAACUUAAAUAUGAGGACCUUCAUAAUGUGGUCCUUGUCUAUCUUUCCAGCCUCUUCUCCUGUCACUUUUUUGCCUCUUCUUUUCACUCUGUCUUACUGGUGUUUCCUGAAUUUAUCAUCCCUGUCACACCUCAUUUUCUUCCCAUGUUCUACUUUUUCUGUACUUUUCCACCCUCAUAAUACUGCUUUCCCUUGUUUCUACUUCUCAGGGAAGCCUGCUCUAACUUUCCUAUAGGGUUUAGAUAUUGCACCUCUUCUCUGCCCCAUUAGCUUCCUAGCAAAUGGGGUUAAAUGCAGAGCUUGCUCCAGAGGCCUACUGUCCAGGUUAAAACUUUAGCUUCACUCUGCUGAUUAUGUCUUCUUGGGCAAUUUACUAAAUAUCUCUGUCUCUGUUUUCUCAUAUGUAAAAUGGGAGUUACAAAAGAACUUCAUAGGGUUGUUCUUGUGGGAGUAAAUUGAUGUAUGUUAAACACUUAGAAUAAUUGUGCUUGGCACAUGUUAACACUUACUGAACAUUAACCUAUUACUAUCUUGUGUAUACCUCAUUCAUAGGACAGAUUAUUUGAUAUUGAACUUCUGUUUUACUUGUUUCUUCCUCUAGUACAUUGUGACCCUUUUUUGAGGGCAGGAACUAAAUCUUAUCAACUUAAAGUUUAUUUAAAAAUAUUUGAGCAUCCAUUAAAUCAUUGAUACUUGGCUAAGUCCAAAUUACGGCCUGUUUUGUGAGACCCCUUUUUACAUUUUUGUAAAAUGUAAAAAGCCAUUACCAACAAAAAGGAGGAAAAAAAAAAGAGGAAGAAGAGUAUGGACAGAGAACAUGGGCCAACAAAGCCUGAAAUAUUUACUACCUAUAAUUUUCUUAACAGAAAACAUUUGCUGAUCUCUGAGCUAGACCUCUUGAUGUUGAUGUUACACAUAACAUGAUUAGAAUCCAGUAAAUGUUUGCUGGAAUGAAUGGAUGGUUGGGUAGAUAGAUAAAUGACUAGGAUAAGAAGAUCAGAAUUGUGUGUAUUGGUGAUUAUUUCUUAAGACGUGACAGCAAUAUGAAAGUCAGUGAAGAGUCUGAAAUAGUUGCUUUCUCAUUUGGUGACAUGAGACUAGACUAUUUGCACUUUGUGGGUAGGAAUGUUUUAGGGUCCUGUGUCUUUCUGUUGUGUUUGAGAAGUUGGACACAAGAAUGGUGUUCAAAUUCCUGGUAUUAACAUGUGAAGAAGACAAGAAUUUGCUAUUUUCUAUAGUUUGUACAGAUGGAAAGUGUCAAGCGGUCUUCUGUGUUUUCCAUUAAGCAUUCCUUGCUGUUAUUGCUAGGAAUAUCAUAAAGGAGAGGAUCCUCACUGUCAUUUAAUAAAUAAUAAUAACAGCCUAAGUGGUUAAUUUUGUUCCUUAUCCCUACAGUAAACAAAUAAUAAAUACUUUGAAUUUAACUAGCUUAAUAUUCUGUUGGUGUAGAAUUGUGGAGAUAGAUAAGGCUGAGUAAAUUCAGGCCAGAUUCUUUAAUAUUUAUUUUUGACCGCUCUUAGGGAUUUUGACCAAAGCAAUUUACCCUCUAACUGUCCUAUUUUGUAUUUGUGGUAUCAGAACAAUUUUUCUUCCUUCAUUUUUAUUUCCUUAAUGAUUCAACUUUCUGUCUGCUCUAAACAGUAUAUGUGUUAAAGCUAAUGUCCAAAUGGUAAUAAAUUUUUUUUGUUAUUAAUUGAUAAUUGUUUGGAUGUUGCUAUUCUGAAAAGGACCAUAAAGAGUAUUUACACCAAGUCUUUAGUUUUACAGAUAGGUCAGUUAUUUAAAAAUCACAAAGGUUCUUGAUAGUAGAAUGACAGCGAAAAGCUGGUGCUCUGAUAGACCAUGCUGCAUCUCCUACUGUCCUGGUUUUUUAUAUAAUAAGAGCUUACCAUCUUCAGUUACAUUGUUUUGCUGAACUUAAGCUGUGUAUUGCACUCUUUCCAUUGCUACCUGACAGAAUAAUAAUGAUCAAGACUUAAAAUCUAUUUCUAGUUUAUUUUUUAGGUAUUCGAAAAUAUUCUACUGUAUUCACUUUGCCUUUCCCAUUGUGAAUGGUCCAAGAAACUUUAAAAAAUAUAGAUACUGGUAUAACUAUGAUUUGAUACAUUUUAAUAUAGGCAGUGUCAACAUUUUGUGAAUUUUAUGUCAAUAUUAGAUUAUAUUUUUCCUCUUCAAAGGGGCUUUUUAAUGAAAAUUGGGGAAUAACUUGUUUCUAGUCUUGUAAAAUCUUCCUUCAUGGCACCAUGAACUCUCAUACAUACAGUGGUAGACUUUCUACUUUUAUAUUAUCCUUAGCUGUUUUAGUUUAGAAUUCUGUUAGUGCCUUUCACAAUAAAUGUUUGUUGAAUUGAAUUGAACCUUGUGAGUAGAACUGUUUUGCUUUGCUGUUUUGUUGCAAGUAUAACAGAAUAACUUGUCAUUAUUUGCUAUCUAUACUCGAUUCAUUUGUGUUCAUAGUAUUUUCAACAUAUUUUUCUUUGUUUACUUAAAUGUGGAAAUUAUAUUCUAAAUCACUUGGCAGCUGUGAUAUGCAAGAGCAAUAGGCUUAUUAAGUUAAAAGAUGAAGUUUAUGCCUUCAUUCUGCCACUUGUAUAGCAUUUGUAUUAGGACAAUCAGCCUGAAUCUUCUUUCCUCAUCUGUAAAAUAAUGACUGCUUUAUAGAGUUUUGUUAGGAUUAAAAGGGAAUCACAUUUAAGCCUACCUAGCAUGGUAUCUGGUACAUGGAGGGUGUUGAGUAAAUGUUUACCCGGUAAAAAAUGGCGAUAUGUACUUUAGAUGUAUCUUAAGACUAUUUUUGGCCGGGUGCGGUGGCUCACGCCUGUAAUCCCAGCAUUUUGGGAGGCCAAGGCGAGUGGAUCACGAGGUCAGGAGAUCGAGACCAUGGUGAAACCCAGUCUCUACUGAAAAUACAAAAAAUUAGCCAGGCGCAGCAGCAGGCGCCUGUAGUCCCAGCUACUUGGGAGGCUGAAGCAGGAGAAUGGCGUGAACCCCGGGAGGCAAAGCUUGCGGUGAGCUGAGAUCGCGCCACUGCACUCCAGCCUGGGUGACAGACAGAGACUCCGUCUCAAAAAAAAAAAAAAGUAUUUUUAAUAAAGGUUUUAUAGAAUCACAAAACCUUAGAUUUUAAAGGGAUAUCAGAGUUCAAGCCCAGUUUCCCUUUUAAGAAUUAAAUUUCUUCUCUGCCGUAUCCUGGGCUAGUGCUCAUUUAUCAGUUGCUAUUUAAUUUCUUUGUGCAAGGCGCUGUGGUAGGUUUUUGGGAAGCUGCAGAGUUGAUUUAGGACAGAUACUCUUCUCAAGAAGGUUGUUCCGAGUAAGCUUCAUGGAAGAAGUGGCAGUUGAGCUAGAACUUGAAGGAUAGGGUAGAAUCUGAAUCUUUAUAGGGGUUGCCAACUGCAAGAACACAAGGAACAAAGGAGAGAAGAGUUUGGGCAGUUGCAGAAAAUCAUUAAUAAAUGAGUAAUUUUAUUUGACUGGAUUAGGGAAGGUGAAGAAAUAAUGAAAGGUAUGGCUGGAAAAGAAGAUUAUGGCCAAAUAAUAGAGAUCCUGGAUAUAUUGCAACAAUUGGAUUUCCUGGUACUCAUCAGAUGAAGUAAAAUGAAACAUUUUUAACUGGGGGUGAUAUAGUCAGUUUCAUUCAGCUUUUUAAUAUAUAUGCCAAGUUUUAAAUAGUUCUUUAUUAAUAUUAACUUCUUGUAACUUUGAUCUCUUUGCUGUAGUUCAUUCUCUUUAGCCUUAGAGUCAGUCCCUCUUUCAUCCUUCAUGUCAAAUCAGAUACCUGUCAGUUUUGCCCCUAAAACACAUGUAAAGUCUAUCCUCAUUGCUCCUGAGUUACUGUCUCAUGUGGCACAGGAUCAACCAGUAAGUUUCCAUUCCUACUCUCCUGUUUAGAGCAUUCAUCAAAACCUCUGGUAGCCUUUAUUGUCUUAAAAAUAUAGAGAGCAUAGUGAAAACCAUGUCACUGCCCUUGAUUCUUAUCUUCAAAAUUAUAGCGAAGUUAAGCAGUCUGCUAAUUCUUAUUUUCCUGUUGUAGCUAAAGCAGGAAUCACUGAGGUAAUAAGUUAUUGUUUAUGCAUUACCUUAUAUUGUUGAGCACUAGAGAUGUCUGUUAAAAUCAGGGCAGAGAAAUAGACAAGUAAACCACAGUGACAAGGUGGAGUAAAAUAAGUACAUACUUAUUUUGUGUAGUGCUAUGGAAACACAGAAGGGGCAAACAAUACUGUUUUAAAUCUUGCUUUUGAAGAUGGAAAUUAUUGUCUUAAAGCUUAUUCUCAGAGACUUGUGGCAAUAUAAUGGAUUAGAUAACCUGAAAAAUUCUGUGAAAUGUCUACAAAUGUCCAUAACAUUCGUUUACAUGUUUUCCCUGCAAGCUCAAGGAUGUGAAGGAUUUCCCCAGGGCAAUCGAAGAGAAAAAUUAAUGGUUAUCAAGCUAAUGCAGGCGCUGCCCUAAGUAAGGGCCUUUGUUCAAACCACACUCCAGAGCUUUGUGUUGUACUGGAUCUUCUCGAGAAAAGGCUGGAUUUUUCAGGGCAGGGAAAUGGAGCUGAGGAUCCCUGUAUAGAGCUGUAACUCUUAAAGACUUUAUACUCUUAGUAAAAGGGUAGGCUGGGGCGAACAACCACCCACCAGCAAAGUAUACUGAUGAAGGCUUGUCUUUCUUAGCCUUAGAUCCAAAUAGAAGUCUUCCCUGAAAAUUUAAACCAUAACUCUUUUAAAAUACAGGUUUGCUAUUUGAAUUUGUUCACCUGUGUGGUCUGGGAAACCCAGAGAUAAGAAACUAAAAUGAUCCUGAGCUAGAAGUGCCUCAACUGGAGCAGAGGCAAAUAUAUGGCCUUUCUGAAGGAAUGUGCUUUCAACACAAGCUUCUCAUAUUCCUCCAGAUUAAAGUUUUCCAAUAUUAGCCUGUAACCCAAAAUGACAGAACCUAGGAAAAAAGACAACAUCAGAAAGUUGCAGCAAAACAACCAACAAAGGAAAAAAAUAGUCAUUGAAAUUUAGAAACUUAAUGGACAAGUUCAGCAAAUAGAUAUGUUUUGAAGAAUGGUUUAGGAAAUUAACAUAUGUAGUACUGCUUUGUUUUCUCUGAGUCUCUUUUCUCUGAGAUGAAAAAUGCAAAAGAGAAGUUCAAAGUUAUGGAAAAUAGAAUGAGGUUCAAAAUGAAUCUAAUUGGAGUUACACAGAAAGAAUAGGGAUAGUUCUCAGCUGCUAUCAGUUUAAAUACAUACUGGCUGAGAUUUGAUACAAGGCAUGAAUUCUCAGCUUUAGGAAGCACAAUGAAACUCCAAGCGAGAUAGGUAAAAAUUCUGCACCUAGACACAUUAUCGUGAAAAUGCAGAAAAUCAAAUAUAAAGAGAAUAUCUUAAUAGAGAGUAGAAAAAAAUAGAUGAUUGAUCAUAAAAGAGCCACAUUUAACUACUCAGUAGCGAUGAUGGAAGCCUAAAGACGAUCAAGUUAUAAAAUACUGAGAAAAGAUAACUGCCAACCUUAAAUUUUUACCCAGGUGAACUUUAAGAGUAAAGAUGAAAUGACUUUUUGGACAAAUAAAAACUGAGUUGGCUACCAUCAUACAUUCUUUUAAAAGAUGUACUUAAGAGAGAAGGAAAUUGAACUCAGAAGGAAAGACUGAAAUGCAAGAGGGAAUAAUGAGCAGAUAUAUUGGUAGCCUGUGGGUAAAUCUAAGUAAACUACGCUUAUUUUAUGACCUUGGUACAUAGUAAAUGCUUGGCUAACAGAUAUAUUAUUCACCAGUUUUCCUGAAAUAACGUGUUUUCUUAUUCCAUUGUGACAGACAGUGGAAUUGACUUCAUAUUCAGAAAUUAAGAGAAGCUGGAAUCUCAACAGGAUUCCUAACAUGGUUAGUCUUAUUUUUCAAAGUUAACAGAUACAGUGUCUUUAGGAGCUGACUUGGAGUGGCUAGGUUUCUUAAAAGUUUAUGUUGGCCAGGUGUGUGAGCUCAGGAGUUCGAGUCUAGCCCAGGCAACAUAAUGAGGCCCCAUCUCUACAAAAACAGUUAAAAAUUAGCCAGGUGCUGUGGCCUGUGCCUGUAGUUCCAGCUACUCAGGAGGCUGAGGCAGGAGUGUUUGUGCCCAGGAGUUUGAGGUUACAGUGAAUUGUUAUCAGGCCACUGCACUCCAGCCUGGGUGACAGAAUGAGACCCUGUCUAAACAACAGCAACAACAAAAAAACAAAGAUUUAUGUCUACUUAUAGGCUGCUGAACAAAUUUUAAUUUAGAUAUUAACUGACCUUGCCCCCUCCUUACCAAGAUCCUAAUUUUUUGUGUUUGAUUUAUAGUUUGGAUCUAGAAUUUCCGUUCAAAAUGUUCUCAGAUUUCACAAUCAUUAAAUAGAAGACAGUUCUAAAUUUAUUAUUUGAGAACCUGUGCUAAUCUUGGGGGAAACAUUAUAACAAUAAGUAAAAUGGAACUCAGUGCUCUUUAAAUGGCCAAGAACAUCACAAACCGGAAGCUUGGUCACUUGUGGUCCUGACUUGUAAAAAGAAGUAUUUGCUAACCAUGUUUUUAUUUUUAUUUUUUUAAACUAUUGAAUUUCAGGUAGUCUAUGAGGGGAGUAUACUUGUAGUAGCAUUUUGCUAGAUGAGCUGCCUUUAUUCCAAAUCAAUAAAUGAGUGGUCUGAGCACAUGUUUCUUUUUUUGAAAUAGUUUCUUUGAAGUUUUAUUGUGGACUUAAAUCUAAUAUCCCUGACGUAAUAUUUAUUGACUUUCUAGGCAUCAUUCAUUCAUUCAACAAAUGUUUCUGAGUGCUUGUCAGAUUCUACCACUAAGGUUGCUGUACUGAACAUGACUUAUAAGGUGCCUGUGCUCAGCAAGCUUACCUUCUAGUGAGGACUAAACAGAAACCAGACAAGUGAACAGGGUUUAAAUUUAGGAGAAGUACAUACAGAAAAUAAAAUCAGGUGAUGUGAUAGUGACUUCAAAGGGUCUCUCUGAGGAGGUGACAUUCAGACAAAGACAGAGGCCUGGGCAGAAGCAUCUUCAGUGGAAGGAACAGAAAUUCCAAAGGCUGUAAGGUGCUUGUGAGUGAGUUUGGUGUACAUUUACAUGGUGCUGUAAGUGCUGAGAGGGUAUAUUAAUGUGAUGGUUUAAUGUGACUAACAUAUUUUGUGGAAAUUAAUUUUGAUUUUAUGAUCAAUCACACCAGAUUGCCAUAACUUAAAAUUUCUAUCUCAGGUCUUAGGAGUUACACUAACUUUUACUCUGUUCUAUAUUUGGCCAGUGGAACUCAAACCCAUUUGAAAACGUUUGGUCUGAGAUGUUCAUUUAUUUGCUGGCUUGUGUUCUGUUCUCUUUUAGACAGUUUUUUUGUGACCCCAUUGUAAUGUAAAAACAUUUAAAUAUUUGCCAAAUUAGUUGAAUUAUAAAUCUACAUUUUUACAUAGGGAGACAAAAUAUAAUGAAAAAUAAUUAUAGUAACUUGGAAGAGACUUCAAAAGCAGUAUCCAAAACUGCAAAUUAUGUUAUACAGUUUAAGCACUUAGUUCAUUUUCUUUGUAAUAAAACUUAUUCCACAAAUACGUAAUUAUUUACAGGAUUCCUACAUAAAUAAGGAACUACUAAGAUUGCAUGAAGGCUGGGUGCGGUGGUUCAUGCCUGUAAUCCCAGCAGUUUGGCAGGCAGAGGCGGGUGGAUCACUUGAGCUCUGGAGUUUGAGACUAGCCAGGGCAACAUGGCAAAACCCUGUCUCUACAAAAAAUACAAAAAUCAGCCCAGUGUGGUGGUGGUGGUGUGCGCCUAUAGUCCCAUGUACUUGGGAGGCUGAGGUGAGAGGAUUGAUUGAACCCAGGAGUUUGAGCCUGCAGUGGGCAGUGAUCGUGCCAUUGCACUUCAGCCUGGGCGACAGAGCAAGGCCCUGUCUCAAAAAAAAGUGUAGCACGAAAACCACAUGUUCUCUUUUGUGUUGAGAUAUGCAUAUGAUUAUACCCUUUUAUCAAAAUUUAGUAAAAGCAUUUCUUAGCUUUUGCUCAAAUUACAGAUUCUAUAUGUCUGUCCUAACUUGUCAUCCAUCCAGCUGAAGCGUCUCAAGGUCAGAAUCAUGUCUGUUUCAUCUUUCUGACCCCAUGGAGCAGAGUACAGUGCCUAUGCAUAGUAAUCUCUCAAAAUUGUUUGUUGAGUGAGUGAAUGUGUGAACAUUUUAUGAAAUUAUCUUUAAGAGUAGUUACUCAUGAUCAGUAUACUUUAAAAGAUCGGCAAAACAUUGAUGACUUUUUAAAAAGUAAUUUUGGCCAGGAGCAGGGGCUCAUGCCUGUAAUCCCAACACUGGGAAGUGAAGGGGGGAGGAUCACUUGAGGCCAAGAGUUCAAAACUAGGCUAGUGAACGUAGCCAGACCACAUCGCUACAAAAGAAAAAUUUUAAAACCAGCUGGAUGUGGUUGGCAUGUGCCUAUAAUCCCAGCUACUGGGGAGGCUAAGGCAGGAGGAUUGCUUGAACCCAGGAGUGCAAGGCUGCAGUGAGUUACAAUUGCACCACUGCACCCGGCCUGGGUUAAAGAGUGAGACCCUGUCAGAAAAAAAAAAAAAAAAAAAAGUCAUUUCAUAAAAUUGUUGGAAAAUAUGCAUUUCUGAAGGAGAGGCGUCAGUGUGAAGAACACUCAUCUGAACUAAGAAUCAGAAAAUGGAUCUGAAUUUCAGCUUUGCUAUUCAUUCAGUGUCCUUAAAUAAAUCAUGCAACCUUGCACAUCAUUUUCUUAUUUAUACAAUGAAAGCAUUGGAUUGAUCAUUGCUAACAUUUCUCUCUGCUCUAAAACUGUGAUUUUUAUCCUUUGCUAUUUGCAAGAACCAGAAGAGAUAAAGGUUGCCUUUUAUGUUAGAUUUGAUUCUAAAUCUAAUGAUAUAGGACAGCGGUGCUUAAGCUAUUUUUGUGAAGUGAUAAGGAAAAACCCUGGGAAAGGUUCAGUGGUGGUUUGCACAGCUGAUUAUUUGUUAUGAUUAAUUGUUCCACUUUUAUUUUCUUUUGUGGCCUGUAACCUAAUUUUUCACUUAGUAUUGGGAUUAUUUUAGUACAAACAAGUGAUAUAUUUGUAAGAAGGGAUCCAGAGAGUAUGGUAAAAUGUCUGGAUGCUGAUGUUCUCUAAGUUAAAGGAGAUUCUAGGGGGUAGUCUAUAAUAAAGGAAAAACACAUUUUUUAAGGUUUUAAUUUUUCAGAGUGCAGGGAGGUGCUAGGUGCUUUCCUCACAUUAAGUAUAACAUUUCCUUUUACAGUAUGUCAGCAUAUUGUUGAAGUUUUCCAAUAUGAAAAUAAUAUCUAUUUACUAGCAUAUUAAAGCUUAGCAAGAGAAUUUUAAUAGCCUCAUUUAGCCUCCUAAACAGUCAGAGGCAGGGAAAUAUUAUUAGAGUAACAACACUGUAGGUGCUCUCUUUUGUCUCUAGUAGCAAAAUGAAUUCUGGCUACCAUGUACUGUAGGAGUGCUGCUGGCUUGAGGCUCCUGAGAUCUGGCAUGGCUGUUAUACUGACUUGUUUUCUUUCAAAUUCAUGUUAGAAAAAUCUGUGCGUGUGUGUGUGUGUGUGUCUGUGUACACAAAUAUUUAUAUUACCGUGUCUCAGUGCUUUGAGACUGUGUGAGGCGGGGGAAGAGCUGUUGAGGCUUUUUAUAGAUAAAGUUGAUAAUGCUUUUUUGACUUGGUUUUCUGUUACCAUCUUUUUUGUCUCUAUUAUGAUAUCUAUUAUAUAAGUCAGAAGGAGAAAUGACACAAAUGCCAGUAUACCAGUUCAAGAUAGGAUCUUGGUUUGAUUUAGCUAAAAUUUACCCUACUUAUUGGUGCAAUUUUUAAUAAUAGAAAACCAUUCCUCAUUGCUUGGAAUUUUUAUCUGCACUUUCCAUUUUGAAUAUUAUUGUUAGUUGUUGAACACCAGGUUUACUCUGCAGGACACCAAGCAAAGCUUUAGAAAUUUCUGCCAUCAUUAAACCCUGAACAGACUGAUAAGCAGCAAAAUUGAAUCAGUUUAAAAAAAAAAAAAAACUUGCCAACAAAAAAAGUCCAGGACCAGAUGGAUUCACAGCUGAAUUCUACCAAACAUUAAAGAAGAAUUGGUACCAAUUCCAAAAGAUUGAGAAAGAGGGAAUCCUCCCUAAAUCAUUCUAUGAAGCCAGUAUCACUCUGAUACCAAAACCAGGAAAGAACAUUUAAAAAAAAACUACAAGAAAUAAUAAAUAAAUAAAAAUUAAAAAGAAAACUACAGACCAAUAUCCCUGAUGAACAUAGAUUCAGAAAACCUCAAGGAAACACUAGCUAACUGAAUCCAGCAGGACAUAAAAAAGACAAUCCACCAUGAUCAAGUAGGUCUCAUCCCAGGGAUCCAGGGAUGAUUUAACAUACACAAGUCAAUAAAUGUGAUACAUCACAUAAACAGAAUUACAAACAAAAACCAUACGACCGUCUCAAUAGACAAAGAAAAAGCAUUUGAUAAAAUCCAGUAUUCCUUUAUGAUAAAAACCCUCAACAAACUAGGCAUGGAAGGGACUUUUACCUUAAAUUAGUAAAGCCAUAUCUGACAAACCCACAGCAAACAUCAUACUCUAUGGGAAAAAGUUGAAAACAUUCCCCCUGAGAACUAUAACAAGACGACAAUGCCCACUUUUACCCCUUCUAUUUAACAUAGUCCUAGAAGUCCUAGCCAGAGCAGUCACGCAAGAGAAAAGAAAUAAACAGCAUCCAAAUUGGAAAAGAGGAAGUCAGACUAUCGUGAUUGUAUGCCUAGAAAACCCUAAAGACUCUUAGAUUCGAGAAACAAAUUCAGUAAAGUCUGAGGUUACAAAAUCAGUGUUUACAAAUCAGUAGCACUGCUGUACACCAAUGACCAAGCCAAGAAUCAAAUCAAGAACCCAAUCCCCUUUACAACAGCUGCAAUAAAAUAUAAAAUACCUAGGAAUAUACUUAACCAAGGAGGUGAAAGAUCUCUAUAAGGAGAACUAAAAAACACUGCUGAAAGAAGUCAUAGAUAACACAGACAAAUAGAAGCACAACUCAUGCUCAUGGACUGGAAGAAUCAAUAUUGUGCCAGUUGACAGAUUCAAUGCAGUCCCUAUCAAAAUACCAACAUCAUUUUUCAUGGAAUUAGAAAAAUAUCCUAAAAUUCAUAUGGAACCAAAAAAGAGCUCAGGUAGCCAAAGGUAAUUGUAAACAAAAAGAACAAAUCUGGAGGCAUCACCCACUACGGGAUUUCCAGUUAUACUACAAGGCUGUAGUUACCAAAGCAACAUGGUACUGGUAUAAAAGUCGGCAUGUAGACCAAUGGAACAGGACAGAGAACUCAGAAAUAAAGCCAAAUAUGUAUAACCAACCUGAUCUUCAAUAAAGCAUACAAAAAAGUAAAUUAGGAAAGGACACCCUAUUUAAUAAAUGGUGCUGGGAGAACUGGUUAGCCACAUGAAGAAGAAUGAAACUGGAUUCCUAUCUCUCACCUUAUACAAAAGUCAAUUCAAGAUGGAUCAAAGACUUAAAUCUAAGACUCAAAACUGGAACUAGAAGAUAACCUUGGAAAACCUCUUCUGACAUUGGCCUAGGCAAAGAAUUCAUGACUAUGGUGGCUCACGCCUGUAAUCCCAGCACUUUGGGAGGCCGAGGCGGGCGGAUCACAAGGUCAGGAGAUCAAGACCAUCCUGAUCUCAGUGAAACCCCGUCUCUACUAAAAUACAAAAAAAAAAAAAAAAAAAAAAAAAAAUUAGCCAGGUGUGGUGGCGGGCACCUGUGGUCCCAGCUACUCAGGAGGCUGAGGUAGGAGAAUGAUGUGAACCCGGGAGGCGGAUCUUGCAGUGAGCCGACAUCAUGCCACUGCACUCCAGCCUGGGCGACAGAGUGAGACUCCAUCUAAAAAAUAAUAAUAAAAAAAGAAUCAUGACUAAAACCCCAGAAGCAAAUGCAACAAAAACAUAAAUAAAUGGGACCUAACGGAAUCAAAAAACUUCUGCACAGCAAAA